AUUAGUUUCUACCUCCUUGCCCUAGCCUUAUGUUACCACAGCCGUUAGCGAUGGAAUUAAUGUAGAGAAUAUGUGGUUACCCUAAUGGGUGGAGGGAGGACCAAUUUAUAGAGGUUAUGACUUGAUCUGGUACGUCCAUCAAGUACCCAAUGUACGGACGAGAUCUAUUCUUCAUUAAAUAUUAUUUAUGGUAUUAUUUGGGUCACAACUUAACUUGGAUCAUAAGUAAGAAAUUAUUCUUUGCAUCUAUUUUGAUUUUAUGUGUUGUAACUAGAUGAAGGCACGUGCCCGAUACAUAUGAAACGACCAUAGUUAAGAAUGCUUGUUAGGCAACAUCUGAUAAAUCAGUAAAGCAGUUGAAGUUUGUUUCAUAGAAAAACUGCUAAUACAUGGAUACACAUUGUAUAUAUGUUAUGUUCAAGAUUUCACCGUCUAUGUAUGUAUUUACAGAUUUACAGAAGUCGUCGCAAAAGACAAAGUAAUCCAUUACUAUGUUGGCGGCAAUCAUCUUGACUAUCUUUAUUACCGUUGUAAUUUUGUGACAUUUGAGGCUUUCUGUUGAAGUAGGAGAAAUGUCUUUAGUAGUUGAUGUAGAGUAUAUUUGCAACAGUAUAAUAAUAUCAAUAAGAGUAUUGGGCCCUCUCUUCAAACUAACUUUUCAAAAAGAUAGUGCAGGGACCAAAUGUAGCAGUCAAAUUUUCUGCAAAAACAAAUGAGAAGAAUGAAAGAAAAUACACAGCUAUAAAUAAAAUAUCUAAAUAUCUGUUGGGGAAAACACUAUGUAUUGAUUUAAGAUGUAAGAAUAUUUAAAGGUACAGUAAGACAGCUACUAUGCAUUGGCAUGCAUAAAUCACAACUUUAAAACUAUAAUCUUUUCCUCUUUAUAUAAGUUCCCAAACCACAAUAUCAAUAAUGAAGAAAUUAGAAGAUUCAACUAUUGAGCAAUGUAAAAUAAAUGAAAUUCAGAUACCUGUUAAAUGAGUUGCGACCAAUUCUUCUUCAACUUCAAGUAUAACGGGCUGGGAAGAUCACUGAAAGGCAACGAUGCGUCAAUCUUCAAUUCCGGAAUGAGCGAUCAAAUUGCACCUUCAAAAUGUUCAUGAAACGUACAAAAGAGAUCAUUUCAUGUAAUGGAGGUGACCAAGGUUUCCUUAAUGAAGUAUUUGUAUGGUGGCAUAAGUUGCCUAGAAGGGUUAAUUUCUUAAAGAACUUUUGGUCAAAUAAUUCGAAUGAGGUCAGCGUUAAGAAUCAACUAUUCGGGGCAGAUCCUCCAAAGGUAUACUCUAUACAUUAUCUCGGGUUAAAGCCAUGGGUGUGUUAUAGGGACUACGAUUGUAACUGGGACAUAGGUGAUCAACGUAUUUAUAAAUUAUGCUAGUGAUAUCGCGCACGAGACAUGGUGGAAACUACAUGACUCAAUGGAUGAGAGUUUACAAAAAAUUUGUGGGUUGACAGAGCAAAGGAAAAUUGAAUUAGAAUGGGAUAGAAAAUUGGCUGGAAAAACUGGAUUUAAAGAUGAACAUUGGAGGAUUAAUGUUACUGAUCCUAGAAAAUUUUCUUGAUUUUUUUUUUCAUUUAAUAUGUAUGCUAAUGCUACUAUAUAUAGUAGUACUUUUGCACAGAGUACUUAUGAACAUGGCCUUCAUGCACUAUUUAUUCAUGUGUAUAUAGAGGAUGCUUGUUCUUCAUUUUUGGAACAUUAUGACUGCAGAGUCACUGUUAAGAUGAUAUGCUCCUUUUCGGGGUUAGGGUUCAAUCAAAUUAACACUAAUUGCUCAAAUUUCGAUAGAGUUAAUUCCCUUUUGAUUGAAAAACAUACAAAUUCCUUGAUAUUCAUUCUUAUUUUCAAGAUUGCUCUUUGAGCUCACUUCACCUUUUUCAUCCGGGUAUUGAAAUUUUUGGCAGAUUUGUAUUUUCAAUUUGCACUAAUUUGAUUGCUUUUCGGAUUUUUACCAACAAAAAAAUGAAAACUUUUUGUAAUUCUAUAUAGAGAAAAUGGUCUAAACCCCCCCCCCCCAACCUAUACCCGAAAUCUCAACUACACACUCCAACUUAAAACGCAAUAACCACGCACUUGACACGUGUUUUUCACCAAUUAAUCCUUUUUAAUUAUUUUUUCUCCUUCUUCUUUAUCCUUUCUUCUUCAAUUAUUUUUCAACCUUAAUUCUUUGUGAAAGUUUCGAUUUAAAAUAAUAUUGAGGGAUUUGAAUCCAACUUGGGAGAUUUUUUAUUUUUUUUUGGUGAAGAUUUAAUUACCUAGUGUAGUUGUAGAGAAAUGUAGACUUGCCACCUUCUCCAUCCUUUUCUUCAACCCCGCCUCCUCCAUCCUUUUCUUCAAUCCGCGGCGGCAGAUUUUGAAUAGAGAUCUAAUCCUUGGUUUCCGCCUUUUAUCACCUUCCAUCUCUUCACCAUUAACUCUUUCACUUUCUUCACUUGCUCAAAGUUUUAACCCAAAAAAUAUUUGUUGUCUUGUCAAUCAAAUUGAAUACAAAGUUUAGUCUUCUAUAACAAAUAAAUUUAAUCUAAACCCUCUUUAGUAUAUAAAGUAGUUGAAUUUAUAUUCAACAGUAAAAAAAAAGUAUCUUUCUUCAAAAAGUUAAGAACAUUGUUAUGUAAAGACACAAAAUCUUAUCAAGAGAAGAAAAAGUUUGAUGGUUUGGUUUAGAUUACAAAUUUAUUCUUUACAAAGAUUAAAAAUUAAUUAGGAGAUGAAUUCCAAAAAAGAUUGCCGAAAAAUCUUCAAACUCCGACCAUGGCAAAAUUUAGAUCAGAAAAAUAGCUUAGAUAAUAAGAAAGAGAAAGAAAACAAUGAAAAAAGAAAGAGAAAAAACGAUCAAAAAGAAAAAUAAGAUAAAAAAUAGUCAGCUCGAAUGCACUCUCCGUGCUAACUCAGCAUUUCAGGAGUUAUUUAUUUCAUUUUUAAAUAGUCCAGGGAGUGAUAGGACACCCGUAAAGUUGGAGUGUGUAGUUGGAAUUUCGGAUAUAGGUUGGAGGGGUUUUGGACCAUUUUCUCUUCUAUAUAUAUGUAAAACUAAUAACGACCAAAACUUCAAAACCUCAUAGAAUUAAUUGUCAAAUGCAUAGGAGUAAAUAAGAAACUCCAUCUUCUUUUUGUUCUUUGCUUAUUUAAUAAACCCAUUCUACUAAAUCUAAAAAAUUGUUAUUCUUCCUAAAGAUCAAAAUUGAAUUUGAAGAUGAAGAGGAUUGAAAGGAAAAAAUACGAAACUUUACAAAUUCAUUCAAUCAGAAAAAAAAUAGUGAAAAAAAAUGAUGAUGACGAAAAAAUUGAAGGUUAAGAGACCAAAAAAAUAAAGAAGUACCUGAGAAUUGCAGCAGUUGAAUGGAUUUGAGAAAAAUGGAAGAUGAAGAAAGUUUGGAGAUUUGGCAAAUGAAUGGAUUUUGAUGAAAGGGAUAAAUCGGAAAAAAUUUAUGGUGGUAGAGGCACAAGUAUGACAUGGUGUGUGAGGGAUUAUUUUUUAAUAAAAAAUGUGUGAAUCCUAUUUUUUUAUUUACAUUGUUAUUUCUCUCCUACCUUUACUUAAUUUUUAGGCAGAACACAUAAGCGGCACCUUGAACUUGUAAGGAUUUUCCUUAUAGGCACCUUAACAAGGACUCCUUCCUAUUGAACAUUUAAACCACUCAAAAAGUGUACCUAUCAGACACACCUGUCUGACUUGGCACUUAUCGUGUGAGGCACUCCUUUUGAGCGCGUGAAGUGAGAAAAAAAAAGUUGAUGUGUUUGAUUGGCACACUUUAACAUGCUUAACGGUCAAAAUCUUCCUCUUUUAUUUAUCCAACCCUAGAUUCUUCCCCUUUUUUUAUUUCUCAUUUCUUUCUUCUCCACAUCUCACCAUUGUUGCUGCUACAUUGGAGAUCAAAAAAAAUUCUUCAUUCGUCUUCUUCACAGCAAAGGAAAUGUCCAAUUUGUCGAUUUCAACUUCUUCAUAUGCAAAUGUGUUCUGUCGAUGUGGGGUCAAUGCUGAAUUGAAAAUUUCAUGGACACAACUUAAUACAGGACGUCGAUUUUUUUGCUGCAAAAACACAAAGGUAAGCUUUUUAUCAUUAUUCUAAUCUGGUUAAACAAAACGUUGUCAAUCCCUAAUCAUAGUUUAAUUAUUUUGAUAAUUUGUGUAGAGAAGAGAUGGAUGCGAUUAUUUUCGAUGGUACGAUGAUGAAAUACCGCCUCAAGCAAAAAAGAUCAUAUGGGGUCUAUUGAAAAGAAUCAAAUCCUAUGAACAAGAGAGAAAGCGGGCAAGAAAAAUCAAGAUCAUAUGUGUUAUUGCACUCGUGAUUUUCGCUAUAUGGAAAUAUUUAUGUUAGUAGUCUUAGAGUGAUUGUAUUAGUAGUCUUGUGUUUCUGUUGUACUGCCUCUACCACCAUAAAAUUUUUCGAUAAACUGACCUGGAUGACACGUAUAACCAACCACCUGUAAUACAGUGGAAGUAGAGAAGAUAAUUUAGUAUGACGAAAAUACCCUCAACUUAUAAGAAUUUGACUUUAAACAGAUAUGUUGAUAUCCUAUUCUCACUCACACUUCUACUACAGUAGAAUAGAAUAUAAGUCUGUGUCAUGCACCUCAAGAGUCCUUUUUCUUCGCCAGAAGGCCCACAUCUAUUACUUAUUGGAUCAUGACCCAAAUUAUUUUCUCACAAUUUUUUAUUUCCAAAUUCUUUUCUAAAAUACUUCUAGUCUACAAAAAAAUUGAGUUUUUUGCAUUUUAUUUUUUCAAUCAGAAUCAUAUUUCAAGAGAACUUAACAACUAAUAAUGGCUAAGAUUCACACUGAAAUGGAGCAAAAAUGUAUUUAUGUAUCAGAGAUAUAUGUAUUUGGUGAUCAAAAUAUAUGAUAUAAAUGAUAAUAUCAAAAACUCUUGAAAAGAUAGAUAAUUUACCCAUAAACUAAUGAGCAGGACUGGGCAUAAAAUAUCGAAAAUAAAAUUACCAAAUCGAACCAAAAUUUUUUGUAAUUCAGUAUUCGAUAUUCGGUAUUCGGUAUGGUAUUUGGGAGUAAAAUCUUAGAAUUCUGAUAUUCGGAUUUGGAUUUGGUAUGAAACUUUAGUACCAUUUGGUAUUUAGUAUUUCCCGAUAACCCAAUAAUUUACUUAAUGAUGGUCAUUUAGAAACAUGUAUGUUACUCGUUAACACAAGUCCAAAGAGAAAGUUAAUGAAUAAACACAAACAACCCAAAUACAUGUCUUUUGAUUGUAUCAAUUUGUCAUUCUUGAUGACUUCUUACUUGUUGAUGUUCUAUUAUAUCGUGCAUCAACAUUUAAAAAAUAGAAAUAAUUGCAAAAAUAGUAUUAACUUUGUAAUACAACCGGCUACAACUUCAAUAUGGUAUUACCGAGUACCGUAUCAAAUCGAAGUUUGAUUUACCAAUUACUGAAUUAUCAAACCAAAGUUUAAAACUUUGAUAUUUGAUAUCUACUUUUAACUACCAAUUAUCGAAUCCGAAAUUUGACAAUUCAGAACGCCCACCCCUACGGUAAUGAGAUUUGUAUUCACCACUUAAAAGUUAUGGAAGUUACACGUUGGUAUUUAACUUCCACCAUAAUGGUGGAUAAUUUUUCAAUCCAAGAGCGGGUAAUUUUAGGCCUACGUGUGUAAUUACUUUUAGAAAAUGUACUCAUGAAUUUACUUUUACUUGUUUCUUCAAAAUUAAAAAAAAUUAUAUUAAUUUAAUAUUUAAAAACUAUUCAAAAAGGAUACUAUAAAUUAUAGUUCUUCUAAUAUUAAUAUAAUAAAAAUAAUAAUGAUCAAAAUUUAUAUAAUUUGUCUAUCCAAAAGUGACCUAAUGGGGUUAGUAUCGGUUGGCUCGGUUCGAUUUUGAAGUUUAUCGGUUCAACUUAUGUGUUAUCUAUUUGUAGACAUGCGAAACCAUUAAGAACCAUUAAGAUAUUGGCUUAUCGGUUAUUGAUUUGUCGGCUAUUGAUCGUUAUCGAUUAAUCCGAUAAGAUUUGACAGAAAAAACAAAUGAUUGAAAAUCACUUAGAAACAUGAUGGCAAACCAAAUGAAUCAUGUACUUGAGUUGAUAAAUUGUAUCUUGCUAAAAAACAUCACUAACACAUUGUAGAAUAACCGAAAGUUUGAGUUGCUAGAAAUAAAAAUAUGAAACUAAAUCCAAAGUCAAGAACUUUAAAUACCCAAUGAUGGUGUAAUAAAUACAAUAAAUUACAGUUGAAAUAAAAUGACAAAAAAUGCAUAAACAAAUCUUUAGGCUGAGGCACGGAUAUCUCGCUUUCUUGAAGGAGAUUUAAGUCCACUGCGGCAUAAUCUACACCGAUCCAGCAAUAAUACUCUUGACUUGUCCCCUCUAGGAUACAACAGCCCAACAACAUUGUACAACUCAAGCAACUCCGGAUUAGUUGAAGACUCCAAAGCUCCACAUAAGUACACCUUCCUUCAACACAUAAAUACUCUCUUGUAUAUAGUGAAUAUAGUUGAAGACUUAGAAUAUUUUUCUAUGUCUCAACUCUCUCUUUCACUACUACACACUACAAUAAUAUUUCACACUUCUCAUCUUUUUGAGAUACACCUUUCACAAAGGAAGAAACACCACUAAUUAUAGUGGAGAAAUUUUUCUUUGUAUUGAAUAGGAAUAAAGUGGAUAAUAAUGUAGGUAAAUGAAUGACCUAAGGUUACAUAAGUUACAAUGUAUAAUGAGGUAGAAUAAUGGGUGAAAUUAGUGGUAGAUCAUGACAAUAGUGGUUACAAGAGUUGCACCACAAUAAUGACCACAUUCUUGUCAACUUAUACCCACUAACAUAUGCACUUAAUAUUUUACUUUUAAUAUUAAAAUGCAUAAACACCAACACCCAAUAAUUUAAAAAAAUCAAACCAUUAAACCAAUAACCUAUUGCCGAUAAACUAAUAACUUUUUUUCGGUUCGAAUUAUCGAUGUCGAUUCGAUGUUGAACCGUCCUACAUUAUUGAGUAUCUAUAGUCAAAGAACCUUAUCCAAUUAAAGCCUAAUGGCAAAAUUUAUUUUUGACAUUUUGCAUGACUCUAUUUUUUAUUUUAAAAAGAAGCCUAACUCGUAACAAAUCAACUAUAGCCAUGGAUUUAUCUGUGAUUGCCCUUACACUAGCUAUCUCCUUCCUUUCUUUCUUCUACCUUCGCAAGUUUUUUUUCGCAGCUCAUACGCGAAAUAGAGGUGUACCAGAACCUACCGGAGCAUGGCCUAUCAUCGGCCAUCUCCACCUCCUCAACGGAUCUCAAAUGCCACACAAAAUCUUUGGUCAAAUGGCAGAAAAAUACGGUCCUAUUUUUCGAUUAAAGCUCGGAGUAAAUCAAGUAGUAAUCGUGAGUGAUCACAAAAUAGCCAAAGAAUGUUUCACCACAAACGACAGGGCCUUUGCGAACCGGCCCAAAUCCCUAGCUUCAGAGAUAUUAGGCUACAAUUAUGCCAUGUUUGGGCUUGGGCCUUAUGGGCCUUACUGGAGAGAGAUUAGAAAAAUAGUCACUAUUGAAUUUCUUUCAGCUCGGCGAAUCAAAAUGCUCAAACACGUUAGAGAAUUUGAAGUAAAAUUAGCUGUAAGAGAGACUUAUGAAUAUUGGCUGAAAAAUAAUAGUAGUAGUAAUUUAAAUGGUGCUGUAAAGAUGGAGAUGAAGGAAUGGUUCGGGAAUUUAAUUAUGAACAGUAUGGUCAAGAUGCUAUUUGGAGUACAAUACACAGGUAUUUAAUUUUGAAUUUAAGUUAUACACAUACAUAUGACUAAGUAUUAUUCAAAAUUAAUAAUUUGAAUCUCGAAAUUCCAACUGCAUAAAUAUAAAUUGAGAAACAGAGAGUACUAGAUAAUAAUGCUUUGAGUUCAUGUAGUUGUAGAAAUUUGGAUGUUGAACGAAACCUAAAUUGUGGAUCCACCCCUGUAACAGAUAAGGAAGAUGAAGAAAGGAAUAAGGCUCAGAAAGCAAUAAGAAGAUUUCUUGAAUUAUUUGGGGUCUCUGUUGUGGCUGAUUUUUUACCUUAUCUAAGAUGGUUGGAUAUUGGAGGACAUGAGAAGGCAAUGAAAGAGACAGCUAAAGAAAUGGACUUUAUUAUUGAAGAUUGGUUAGCAGAGCACAGAAGAAAGAGAAAAUUAAGGGGAAAUAAAUGUGGGGAUGAAGAUGAUUUCAUGGAUGUCAUGUUGUCCAUUUGUGAAGACAAAGAUCUACAUGGUUUUGAUGCUGAUACCAUUAUCAAAGCUACUUGUGUGGUACGUUUAAAUUUUGUGAUCUUAAAUAUUUCACAUGCAAACUAAUAUACUAACUAAUAUACUGCUGAAAUUUUUGGUUUUGGAUUGGUACGUAGGUUAUGCUAUUGGCAGGAGUAGACACUACUGUUGUAACUUUGACAUGGACUUUAUCUUUACUCCUAAACAACUACCAAUCACUAAAAAAGGCCAAAGAUGAGCUAGAUACUCAUAUUGGUAAGAAUAGAUGUGUCCAAGAAUCGGACAUCAAGAACUUGAUUUAUCUUCAAGCUAUUGUUAAAGAAUCGUUCCGUUUAUAUCCAGCCACUCCGCUCUCACUACCCCACGAGUCGAUUGAGGAUUGUGUUGUUAGUGGCUACAAUAUACCGAAAGGGACUCGCUUAGUACUGAACAUAUCAAAGUUACAUUAUGAUCCUGAAAUAUGGCCAAAUCCCCAGGAGUUUAAGCCAGAGAGGUUUUUGACGACUCACAAAGAUGUCGAUGUAAGGGGCAAUCACUUUGAGUUGAUUCCGUUUGGUAGUGGAAGGAGAAUGUGCCCCGGUGUUUCAUUGGCCCUUCAAGUUGUGGAAUAUGUGCUAGCUGUUUUGUUGCAGGGGUUUGAAAUUAAGAGGCCUUCAGAUGAAGCAAUUGAUAUGAGUGAGAGCUUUGGAUUGACAAUUCUCAAAGCUUCUCCACUCGAAGUUCACCUAACUCCACGCUUGAAUUCUUAUCUUUAUUAUGAAUGAAAUGUUGAUCUUUUUCAGUAAAUUAAGGUUAUAAUUAUGCUAUAUUGAUAAUUACAAUGUGUAUUUGAGUUUUAUAUUUGUUUUAGGGGAGUGUAGAAAUUAAAAUUCUCGUCCAGAAAAUAAUAUUCAAGACCGAAAAAUAUUGCAAUAAUCGUAUUUAUUUGUUAUCAAAAUAUGAGUGUUACAACCUCUAUGAAUCCCUGAUUCAUUUUUUCGAAUAGAAAUUCAAGAGCUUUUGAGCUUGAUCUUUAAUUUAAUGGCUUUGAUCUUGACUUAUACUUAGAUUAAAGAGCUUUUUGGGCUUGUUUUUGAAUUUUGAUGAACUUGAACUUGAUCUUGAAUUUAAGGGCUUUCGAGUUUGUUCUUGUAUAUGGUGAUCUUGAUUUUGAAUUGUUCUUGAACCUGAAUCUUUGAAUUCUUGAACUUGUAGUUUGUAGAGAAAUGAAUUGUUCUUAAACUUGAAUGCUUGAAUUCUUGAACUUGUAGUGAAAUCGGAGGCGUUUGAUCCUAAAGUAGGUCAUUUUUGGCCCACUAGUAUAUACAUAUAUAUAGAUGAAAAUUGCGCUAAAAAAUAAACAUAUACUAGUUAAUUAGCUAAUAUCACUAUAGUUUGAAUUAAUUAUGGUUCACAACUUAAUUUUAGCUUUAAUUACGUCACUUGUUCUCUUUUAUACAUAUACAAAUACAAAUUAUACACAUAUAUAUAUACAAUUAUAUGACAUAUAUACAAAUACAAUUAGCCUCUCACCACUCUCUGACCUUUCUCGCUCGCCUCUCUCCUCUCUCUCCCAAUCUCGCUCGCCUCUCUCCUCCCUCUCCUAAUGUCUCGCCAAAUAUACAAAUACAUAUGUAUAUCCGUUAUAUAUAUAAUUAUCUGACAGAUAUACAUAUACAGUUCAUCUCUCUCCACUCUCUGCCCAUUCUCGCUCGCCUCUCUCCCUAUCUUGCUCGCCUCUCUCCUCCCUCCCACAAUCUUGCUCGCUAGAUAUACAAAUACAUAUGUAUAUUAGUUACAUAUAUACAAUUAUUUGACAGAUAUACAUAUACAAUUAGACAAAUAUACAUAUACAAUUCGCCUCUCUCCACUCUUUUCCCUCUCUUGCUCGCCUCUCUCCUCCCUCUCCCAGUCUCGCUCGCCACUCUCCUCCUUAUAAAAUGUAGCUACGAAUCGUAAUUAACAAACUAUAGUUAUGGUGGCACCCUUAGAAUUUAGGUAUUUAUUUUUAUGUUUUCCUUCAUACUUUUAGGUUUUUAAUCCCUAUUUUAUUUUUACUUUUAAAAUCGUUUUUCAGCUCUUGCACACCUUUCAGAAUCACAAUCCUUCAAUGUGAAAAAUUGUCUUCUUUUAAUAUAUUUUAUAAUAUAAUAUAAAUAAAUAUAUGAUAUAUACUAACUUUGGUGUUCUAGGAGGAGGAGGAGGAGGAGGAAAACGGAGGAGAAGAAGAAGAGGAGGAGGAGGGGGAGAAGGAGGAAGAAGAAGAGGAAGAGGAAGAGGAAGAGGAAGAAGAAGAAGAAGAAGAAGAGGAGGAGGAAGAAGAGGAAGAAGAAGAAGAGGAGGAGGAGGAGGAAGAAGAAGAAGAAGAAGAAGAAGAAGAAGAAGAAGAAGAAGAAGAAGAAGAAGAAGAAGAAGAAGAAGAAGAAGAAGAAGAAGAAGAAGAAGAAGAAGAAGAAGAAGAAGAAGAAGAAGAAGAAGAAGAAGAAGAAGAAGAAGAAGAAGAAGAAGAAGAAGAAGAAGAAGAAGAAGAAGAAGAAGAAGAAGAAGAAGAAGAAGAAACAUAAAAUAUUCGAAGUUUAAAAAUGUGAGGGAACUCUUUAUUUAUAGCCAAUAAAGAUAGUAUGGACAUGUCCUUAUUAUGUCUUAUCAUAAAAGACACAAAUCUUCAUAAAAAGUCACAACCCUUUAAAAAGGUCAGAACUCAUCCAAAAAGUACAACUCUUUAGAAAAGUUACAACCUUUCAAGAAAAUCAAAACUCUUUGGAAAAGUCACAACCAUUUGGAAAAGUCACAACCAUUUGGAAUAGUCACAACCCUUCUGAAAUGUCACAACCCUUUUAAAAGAUCACAACUCCUCGGAGAAAAAAGAAGAAUAGAAAACAUAAAAAAAUUGAAGUUUAAAAAUGUGAGAGAGCUAUUUAUUUAUAGCCAAUAAAGAUAGUAUGAACAUGUCCUUAUUGUGCCUUAUCAUAAAAGACACAAAUCUUCAGAAAAGUCACAACCCUUUAGAAAGGUCAUAACUCAUCCAAGAAGUACUACUCUUUAGAAAGUUACAACCUUUCAAAAAAAUCUCAGCUCUUUGGAAAAGUCACAACCAUUUGGAAUAGUCACAACCCUUUUGAAAAAUCACAGCCCUUUUAAAAGAUCACAACUCCUCAGAGAAAUCACAACUUUUUGAAAUAGUCUCAACCUUCAAUAUGAAAAGAUAUUUGUUUUUAAUUUGUUUUUAUAAUAUAAGUAAAUUUAAUAUAAUAUAAAAUAUAUACUAAAUUGAAUGUUUUAAGUUUGGGGUAUUAUAAUAAUUUAACAUUCAAGUUAGAGAGUUCAUUCUUUUAAGGUAGUACUAGUUUCUAGGCACAUGCUUUGCGUGUGUAACAUGUAUUAAUGAGUAUAUUAUUUCUUAAGAAAUUAAAUAUUAUUAAAUAAUAUGAUUUGAGUUCUUUUUUAUAAAAUGUGUCUAAUUGGGGCUUCUUACUUUGUCUUACUACUAAUUGUGACACUCCAAUUUCAUGACCUCCAAGUGAAUGCACCAAGAUAAUAAUAUGAGAAGUUAAUAAAAUAAACUCUAUUUAUAAGUCAAAAAAUGAGUUUGUAAAGCAAAAGAGAAAAGAUAACAACUAACUAAAUUAAAUUUCUAGAUAGUAUUAAAAAAAUUGUUGGUAGAACAGUGUUAGAAGAUCAAAAGAUUGCAUGAGAUUAAUCAUCUGCAAACCAUAGUGCAGCAUUAAUGUUUCUUCAAUUAAAAGCUUGGUAGGAUUAAGGCUGGGCACCGGAACUGGUUGUACCGGUACCAUUCCGGUCCGUUUCGGUACCAUUCCGGUUCGUUCCGGUCCGGUAGUAUUCAGGACGGGAUGGGAUACAUUGAACCGGUACACGGAACGGAACGGUACCAUGAUUUGGUACCGGUAUACCGGUACCGGUUCAUCCCGGUUCAUUCCGGUUCCGUUCCGGUCCGGUCCGGUACCGGUCCGAUCCCGGUAAAUCAUUUCUAAUUAAAAUAAAAAAUAAUAUUUUUGUCAUUAUUUACUUUUAUUAGCAUUUCUUUUUUGUUUAUUUAAUUUUUUUAAAAUUACAAACUUAAGUUAUUUAACUUACAAGUUAUAAGUAUAACUUAAUAACUUAUAAACUUCAAAAGAUUCAAAUCUUUAAAACUUAUAACAUAACUACAUAAGCUCAAAAACUAAAAAAAAAACUUUAUUAAACUUAACUUACAAACUUAUAUACGUAAAAAUUAAAAAAAAUAUCUUUAAAAUAAACUUAAGUAAAAUUAUUAUAAAUUUUAAAACUUAAAUACUAUAAACUAAUAUAACUUAGAAAAAUAAAAAAACAUUCGUAUUUUCGUAAUUCAAAAUAACUCAAAAAAAAAUAAUUAUUUUUUGAAAUAGCUAUAUGUGCCGUCCCGUUUAUCCCAUCCCGUUCCGUUCCGAUCCAUUCCGGUCCGUCCCGGUUCUAUCCCGGUAUAUAGUGGGACGGGACGGAACCGAGCCUCCAUCCCGGUAGUUCCGGUCCGGUUCAUCCCGGUACCGGUCAACAACCCGGUCAAACCGUCCCGUUCCGGUCCGGUUCCGGUUCGUUCCGUCCCGGUGAUCCCAUUCUGGUCCGGUGCCCAGCCUUAGGUAGGAUAUUAUUUACUUUUUACCAAAAAUGGUGUAAGGUAACUUUGACCGAACGAAAAAAAAAUCUUUCAAUUUUUUUACGUUGCCUUUUGAAUAUCCUGAUAAUUAUAAUGAAUGUGUUCAAAAUGUUAUAUUAGAUUUUUAACCACGAGAACUUUAAACAAAUUAUUUAAUUAUAAAUAUUAAAAUUAAGGUGCAGAAAAUCGUAUUAUUUUUUUUUUUAAAUAAGAAUAUUUAUAAACAUAACUACUAUUUUUAUAUAGAAUUUAAUUAUCUCUUCAUCAUAACUUAGCUAAUGCUAUAUGUUUCACCUUCUUCUUUUUUUCCAAAAAAAAAAGAGUAAACAUUCUAUCACAUUCAUUCUUAAAGAUAAAAGUUAAUGUUUAUGUAAAUUAUAAGUACAAAGAACAAAACAAAAAAUAAAGAUGCACAUGAGCAAGAUAAUUAGGUAUUCCUUUUUGCUUUUGCCUCUAUAAUGAAAACUAAAACAAAGACUAAUGUAACAAAUAGUCUAUAUUUGAGCAUAUAAAAUAAAAAUAUGAAAUUAAAGCAAGUUGCUAACAAAACAACAAUUCAACUAGAUAAAGAGAUACAAAAGUUUCAUUAUAAUUCGAAUUACUACAAAUAAGUAUAAAACUAACACACUAAGCUCUGAUGCUUCUGAAAUUGAAUUCCUAUCUAUUCUCGUGAUUGUAUAAGGGCAUCUCACAACUUUCAUCCGAAAUUAUGACAUCAUUUCAUCAGCUUAGAGCUUCUACACUGUAACACCUCGGAAUAGAGAUGGCUAGGAAAGGGGCAAAAGUAGGCAAGUCACCAUCCCAAAGCUGGGCCAUGAAACCCUCUACGGAACCCUUGACGGGCCGUGAAGGGGACCGCAACUCAUUAUGGGGCUCGUGAGAGGUUUCCAGAGCUACCAACGCCAUCGUCCUUCCCACGGAGGCCUCGAUAGCCCACGGUGAGGUUGACGGACCAUGGUAGUGGUCGUCAACUGACCCAUUAGGAAGGGGGUCUUCCCCUAGCCACUGGUCAAGGACCACGAGCGACAUAAUGGCCUAUAUACCGUUGACAUGCCAUGGAGGCCGCCGUGGCAGUGGCAUAGGAAGACCCUUAGCGAAGGGCCUCUUCACGGGCCGUGAGGCCUAUGACAGGCCAUGAAGGCCACCGUCAGUAAGUUCUGUCAGUUUUUAAGUCAGGGUCUUAUGGGUCUUUUCCAAAUUAUUUUAAAUCAAUACCAUGUCGUUUUACCCUUAACUCAAAGUCCUACAUAAAGGUUUUUUACCCCCAAAAUCACCCAUUCAAUUCAUUCUCUCAAUUUACCAAAAAGAAGAGCAAGUUCAUCUUCCCCAAAAUAUUUAUCUCUCUAGAGGAAGAAAGAGUCAACCUAGGAUUCAAGAUCAAGUCUCCAAUUCAACAAUUGCUUAAGGGCUUUAACAACUAAGGUAUGGUAGUCUUCAUCUAUGGAGCCCUUUCCUCCAUAGAUUUCCUAAAUUCCCCAAUUUUGAUGUUAGGAAUUCCCAAUUGAAGUUAGGGCUUUCUACUAUGUUAUGGGUUCCUUUCAAUAUUGAUUUAUUUUACUGUUUUAUGAAGUAUUAAGCAUGAAUUGAGAUAAUUCAAUGAUUUAAAAAUGAAUCCCCAUGAACCCAUGCAUACCCCCAUGUUUUCUAAGCUAACAUGAUAAUGCCGACUUUUAUCCAUGAAAGAAGAAGCUUAUGAAGUUAUGCAUGUUCUUUGUCAAAGUGAUGAAAAAGAUUUAAGAUUCUUUGAGAGUAAAUUGUAUAUCUUGAUGUUGUUGUUGUGAAAGGAUUUCUCACACAUCACUCAAUACAUAUAUGUGAAAUGAUUUUCUCACAUAAGGAUUCAUAAGAGUUGAAAGGUUUUCUCAACUAACUAAAAUCAAGUUAGGAGCUAUUCUAAAAAAAGUUAGUUUGGAUUGGCGAUUUGAAGUGCCCUCCAUGAAAGUAAGUCAAUUAAAGAAUUAUGACUAUUCUGUGGGAUUUAUGCUUAGCACUGAGAGGACAUUGAGAUGGAAGUUGUCCCGUAGUUUGAGGCUGAGUUUCUAGUAGCAAUCUCUUUAUCCCUUACCGAUUUGCCACCAUAGGAUCAUGGUCUUAAUUAGAUAGACAUGAUUGUAUUAAAUAGGCAUUAACUAGUGGAUCCACAUAAUAUAGAGUUGAGGUUCUCACCUUGGAAGUGAGAACACCCCUUUUUGGUAUGAGGCAGACAUCGGAUCCCAUGUUAUAGCUCACAUGGUCUCUAUGUUGGUUAAGGAUAAUUCCCACUCUAAAGAUGAACUAAGGUUGCUUAAAAAAGUAUUUCCCAAGUGUUCAAAAGAGAAGUUUUACUUGCAUUGAUCAUGACCAUUUUGAUGUUUCUAACCCUUUUCUCAUGGUUUUAACUUGAUCUUUGCAUGAGCAUGAAAAUCUCAUUUUUAGCAUGAGUUAUAUCUCUAUGCAUUGCUAUCAUACUUGGUACAUAUUUUUACUAACACAUACUCUUGCCUACAUUGUUUUCUCCAAUAUAGGUCCGACGUUACAGGUUCCCAUUCUCGUGGCAGGAGUCACCUUCAGCUUUUACUUAGUAGUGGUGAGUCCUCAUGUUUCGAGGACCGAACCCUUAUUGCAUUCAAUUUUAUUUUUCAGAUAUUGUACGUGAUGUCAGGGUUACGUCCCGAUCACUCUUGAUGUAAUAGUUGGCUAUUGAGACUUAGUAGACUUUCACUUCCAUUUCAUAAACUCUUUGAUAUGAAGUAUUGUUUUAAAUCUCUUGUUUUUCCAUAAAAUCUUGUUUAUGCAUGCUAAGUGUCUUGUGUAGGGCCUCUUGGAGUCCUAUACACGAUGUUACACCUAGGGGGUACCUUGGGUCGUGACGAACUUGGUAUUUAGAACACAAGGUUUAGAAAGGUCCUAGGAUAUCUCAUAAGCCACAUCGAAUAAAGUCUUGUUCAUGAGUGUGAAAUGUGCCACAUUUAUGAAUAGGAACCUAUAAGAUGAUUAGAAAGCUCCACUUCUUUCAUUACUCUAAGUCGUGCAAUAGACUGUAACUCUAUUAGUCCUUUCUUCCAAUUCAUUUAUGAUGUUUUUCAGGAAAUGGCCCUUCAAAGAGCUUAUGUUAGGAGAAAUGUGAACGAGAACGUGGAACAAGAGGCUCCAACUCAAGCUCCUUAGGCUCCAAUCGGUACUUUGGCCGAGCAAGUGACCAACACAAAAUUUAGAGAUGCUUUCCAAGUAUUGUCUUAAGCCAUGGCGACUAAAGCUAACAGAGAGGUUGUGGUUCCCGUGAACCCAAAUGUGGGUACGGUGGCAUGUAGAGUGAGGAACUUCACUAGGAUGAAUCCUCUACAAUUUCAUGGUUCUAAGGUUGAGAAAUUUCCUCAAGAUUUCAUUGAUGAGGUAUAUAAGGUGAUAGCUCCAUGGACACGGAUGAGGCUAUAGAAGCCCUAAGAAGACCAUCAAGGUCUCAAGAUAAGGAGUUACAAGCCAAGGUUGUUGGGCUUAAAUGGGAAAUCAAGAAGAUGCUUAUCAUGGACGAAAAGUCCAAGAACGAGUCCAAGAAUUGUAGAGAAGAAUGAAGUAGGUGCUACACAUAUUUUAUGGUUCAAGUCUAAGCCCAAAUGAAAGAACAUUGAGCCACACGAAGCCCAACAAAGGAGCCCAAAAAGUUGAAAGGUUAAAGUCAAAGUUUUCUACUUUAAAAACUUCUUUAUUUUAAAGUUUCCUAUUUUAAAAGGUUUCCUAGUUCAAAGUUUCCUAGUUUAAAAGUUUCGUUGUUAAAGUUUUCCUAGAUUAAAAUUUCCAUAAAAGUAGGAUUUAAAUCCCAUUAUAUUUGGGAUAGGUUUUCCCUAUAUAUAGGGGUUGAUUUUAUUAUAUUACAUAUAUGAUUAUUAUUAAUUGAGAGUUUCUCUUCUUUACAUCUUUGUGAGUGGGUACUUGUGAUUUAUUUUACAAUCUUAUAAGAAGGAUUCUUAAGAGGCGAGAUUAAUUCUUUAACUUGAUAUCUUUGGUUCUUAUUCGUAAAUUAACGAAGGUAGUUAGUCUUAUACUAAUUAUUGUCUUUAGUUUCUACAAAAUAGAGGUCUAGAUCAGUUUUUAAAUCUAAGUUCUUGAAUUGGCUCUAUUAGUAUCAUAAAUUAGCUUUAGUCUACUAAUUCUUGAAUAAUAAGAUCAAUUAGGGUUCUUAGCACAUCUUUUUGAAUUUGAGGAUUUUCUCCUCAAAUUUCGCAUAUCUUUCAAUUUCUAUCUUUAAUAUUAGUAUAUUCACUUGCGCAUUAUUUUCUUGUUUAUUCUGCUAACCCGAUUCUUAUCAAGUGGUAUCAGAGCGGUUCUAUCAAGGUUCCAUUCUUGAUAAUCUUGGAAGUUUCAAAAAACAAUUCCUUUUGUAGUUGCUUAAAAGUUAAGCUACAAAGCAACAAAAGAAUCAAAAUUAUAAAAUAAAAAAAAAGGAAAGAAAAUUUAAUUACUUAUUUAAAUAAACUCCAUAUUUUUUUUAUUCUUGAUUUUCUACCUCAAAAAGAAAAAUCAAGAAGAGGGGAAAUUUGAAGUUUUUUUUUCUUUUGUUUCACAAAGUUGUUUUUUUUCUUGUCUCAUCAAUCCCAAUUUAUCUGGGAGUUGGUAAAUUUUUUUCUUUCUACAUCUUUCUUCUAAAAGGAUUUUUACUAGUAGAGUUUAUAUAUAAAUUCUAAAGGAACCAGUCAAAGGUUGUAAUUUGAGUGGAAAAAGGCAAGAUAGGGUGAGAUCAAUAGAGAGAAAAGAAAAUCCAGAUUGAGAGAUAAUUGUCUCAGGGACUCAAAACGAUGAAUUAAUGAAGGUGCUCAAAAUGAUUACAGUCUGACUUGAUGCAUUAGAUAUUGCAUAAAAUCCACAUAAUCCAUUGAACAUGACCGAUGUGAGGAGAAUCCAUCAAAAUCUGAUGCCUCAAGUUAGGAGACAAGCUUUCCGAGCUCCUCAAGUCUAGCAAACUGAGGAUCACUUUGGUGAUUAUGAAGACAAAUUUGAAGAAGCUUACCUACAGAGAAACGAAAUGAGGGUGCUAUGAGUUAAGGGUGAGGAUGACAAUCUUAGUAGUAUUAAGAUGAAGACUCCUACUUUUAAGGGGACAAGAGAUCCCGACUUGUACCUUGAUUGGGAGAGGAAAGUGGAGGCUAUUUUUGACUAUCAUAACUACUUUGAAGGUGAGAAGGUUAAACUUGUUGUGAUUGAAUUUUCUGACUAUGCUGCUAGUUGGUGGAAGAAAUUUUGUAGAGACAAAAUAGACAAUGGAGAACUACCCAUUGCGACAUGAGACGAGAUGAAGAGGGUUAUGAGAAAACAUUUUGUCCUAUCACACUUCCAAAGAGAUCUGCAAAAAUGCCUUCAUAUUUUGAAGCAAAGUUUUAUGUUUGUGGAUGAUUAUUUCAAGUCUAUGGAUAUAGAUAUGAUCCAAGCUAAUUGUAAUGAGGACGAGGAGGCCACUAUGACAAGAUUUCUUAAUGGUUUAAAUGGAGAAAUAGUUGAUGAAGUAGAAUUGCAACAAUAUGUGAAUUUAGAUGAAUUGGUUGUAAAAGUAGAAAAACAAAAUAAAAAGAGGCAACAAACUAGCUCAUGGCCAACACAUGAGGAGAAAACUAUGCCUAAAUCACAAGAUGACAAGGGCAAAGGUAAAUGGGAGGCCAAAGAUGGAGGUAAGACUUUUAACACAAAAGUUUAUACUCCUUCUACGUCUUCUAGUUCUAUACAAUGUCACAAGUAUCAAGCGAGGGGACAUAAGGCAUUUGAAUGUCCAAAUAGAAGAGUUGUUUUAAUUAAGGAUAAUAGGGAAUAUGAGAGUGAAAUAAGUGAAGAAGAAGAAGAGGGUGUUAGGAGUGAGGAUGAGAGAGAUGUGGCUCCUCAUAAUGAGGGACAAUUUUUGGGGGUAGUUAGGCGACUUAUGAACAUUAAUAUGGGAGAGCUUGAUGAGCACAAAGAAAAAAUAUUUUUCAUAGACUAUAUGGGAUAAAGGGUAGAAUUUGCUCUAUGAUAAUUGAUAAUGAUAGUUGUGCUAAUGUGGUGAGCACAUAUACGGUAGAGAAAUUGGGGAUUCCAUGCACAAAACGUAAGGCGAAUUACAAGCUUCAAUGGUUGAAUGAAUGUGGAGAGAUUAAGGUAAGUAAACAAUGCAUGAUUUCAUUUUCUAUUUGAGAGUAUUCUGAUGAAGUACUUUGUGAUGUUGCGCCUAUGCAAGUUUUGCAUAUUUCGUAGGUUCGACCCUAACAAUAUGAUAUAUAUGCUUCCCAUGAUGGGAGGAGGAAAAAUUACUCUAUUGACCAUAAGGGAAAAAUUAUAUUCUUGCACCAUUAACUCCUUCUCAAGUGUAUGAAGACCAACAACGACUAAAAGAAACAAUGGGUAAACAUAGGAGGGAUAAAAAACGAAUCAAAAAAUUGUGAGAGAGGAAAAAAUUCAAGUGAGGCGUGGGAAGAGGGAGAGAAACAAUGAGGAAAAAGAAAAGGUGGGAAUGAGUGAUAAAAAAGAGAGAAUUGGUGAGAGGAAAGAGGCUAAGGGUGAAAAAAACAGCGAGUCUUGCAAAAGCCAAAGAGUGUUUACUUGCAAAAAAAGAGGGGCCGCCCAUUGUUCUUCUCACUUAUAGGGAAGUUCUGAUUAACACUAACAAUUUAACUCUUUUUUUGGCUAGUGUUGUAUCAACUCUUUUGCAGGAUUUUGACGAUGUAAUUCCUCCAGAUAUCCCUAAGGGAUUACCUCCUUUGAGAGGAAUGGAACAUCAAAUUGACUUUGUUCCUGGAUCUCAACUUCCAAAUAGGCCCACUUGUAAAAGCAAUCCAAAUGAAACAAGAGAACUACAAAGGCAAGUAGAGUAAUUGCUUGAAAAAGGCUUUGUGAGAAAGUUCGAGCUCAUGUUUUGUUCCUAUGCUUUUGGUACCAAAAAAGAUGAAACUUGGAGGACGUGUGUUGAUUGUCACUAUCAACAAAAUAACGGUAAAGUAUCAACAUCCUAUCCCCCGCCUAGAUGAUAUGCUUGACCAAUUGCAUGGCUCAACAAUAUUUUCAAAAAUAGAUUUAAAAGUGGAUACCACCAAAUUCGAAUGAAUCCUGGAGAUGAGUGGAAAACUGUUUUCAAAACUAAGUAUGAAUUGUAUGAGUGGUUGGUGAUGCCAUUUGGAUGAACUAAUGCACCUAGAACUUUUAUAAGGCUAAUGAACCAUAUCUUUACAGAUUUUCAUGGAAAGUUUGUGGUGGUGUAUUUUUAUGAUAUUUUGAUCUUUUCUACAUCUCUUGAAGAACAUGUGGAACACUUGAAGUUAGUUUUUGAUGUGCUUGUGAACACCUAAUUUUUGACGUGUUUAUUUUACUCCUACAAUAUAUAGUAAGGUUUUUUCUUAUACUUUUGUUUUGUAUUUUGGAUUGUUUGUCUUUGUUUGUAUUGUUUUUUUUUAAUUGAUCCAAAUGACCCAAUUUUGAUUGAAUUGGGCUGAUUUAGACCAAAUUCUGAUGGCCCAAUCAAUUUUGACCCGGUCCACUAGAAAUGGUCAAGAUUGAAUCCCAACCAUUCAUGAUAUUUUGAUCCAAGGGCUCUUUUGGAACCCUACCAAAAAAUACAAAACUCCAAAAAUUAAAAAAAAUUAUUUGGAUUUUAUUUUCAUCUUCCCUUUGCUUCCACCUGCCGCCGGCCGGCCACCGCCACCGCCGCCUCUGCCGCGGCCGGCCACCACCCUUUGGUCUGAAAAAUCUCCAAUAAUUUACCAUUUCUUCCUUUCACCCUUCUCUACACAAAUUCGCAAAUCAUUCAUCCUUAACCAAAGCCAAACUCCGUAGAUCUAAGAAAAACCAAAUAUAAAUCUUUACUUUUUCUUUAGAUUAACGAAGUUUCGGUCAUCCCAUUAUAUACCCUUUACAUAAAUGUGUAGAGCGUUUUAAGGGCUAUUCUGUGAUAUAAAUUUUAUGUUCAAAAUCCGUCAAAAAAUUUUGCGGUGAAGUUUUCCGGCGACCCCCAUUCACCCGAAAAUUUAUGUCAAUCUUUUCCCCCUCUCAUCUUCUAUCCAAAUUCGUCAUUAUCACAUUUUUUUUAACCAUAUAAGUCGUUUUGGUGCCGAAUUUGUAUUGUUUUGUUAGUGUUCUUCAAGUUUUAUCAUGUUGAAGUUGUUGCUUGAGUUUUAUCUUUUUUUGAAUUUCGUUUUUAUUUUUUAUUUUUAUUUUCUGCCUUAUUUGUUGUGUUUGAUCUUUAAAAUAGUUUAGAUGUUUAGAUUUGUGUUAAUGAGCUGAUUUUCUUUUGAUUUUUGGGUCUUGAUCAAAUGGAUCUACAUUUUGGGCCUAUUUUAAUCAAAUGACCCAUUUAGCUAUUAUUCAAUUAAUGAAUAAAAUAAAUUGGUCAUCUAAAAUAGCAUUUUGGGCUUAUUCUAAAUUUUCAGAUGACCCAUUUAGCUAUUAUUCAAUUAAAGAAUAAAAGAAAUGGGUCAUCUAAAAGGGCAAUGCAGUCUUUUAAUUAAUUUUAUUUUGGGAAAAGAAAAAGAAAAAAGAAAAGAGGAAAUUAUAUUGGUCAUCUUGGGUGGCACCUUGGGAAGACAAAGAGUCCAAUGCAUGCAUUGACUUUUAAGUUUUCAAGAAGAAUGGGUGUUAAUUUUCACCACCUAUUUAAACCCAUUCUUCUUUCAUUUUAAAAAAAGAACAAGAACGCAAAAUUAGAAGAGGAAAAAUCGUAAGAAUAGAGAAAAAAGAAGUCCUCUUCUAAAAGAAAAGAAUAUAUAUAUAUCUACAUUUUGCAAUGUAACUUCAAAAAAAUAAUGAAGCAUGUUUAUAUUUUUGAUUAAAUUAUUAUGUUUAGUUUAUUUGAAUUAGUUAAAUAUGUUAUGAUACUUAAUAUGAUUAUGUUUUGUUGUUAUUGUAUAUUUGUGUUUUAUUAUUAAACUAGGUGUUAAUUCUUUCUUUAUCAUUAUGAAGUUGAAACAUAACUUUAUUGCAAUUAGUUAAAUUAUGUUUUGUUGUUAUUAUAUAUUUCUGUUCUAUUAUUAAACUAGGUGUUAAUUCUAUAUUUAUCAUUAUGAAGUUGAUACAUAACCAAUGCUUUUGCUAAAAAAAAAACAACAAUCUCAAAGUCUUUUUUUUAGUUUCUGGUCAUUUUAAGAAAAGAAAACAAAGAGGUUGUUUUUUGCAAAAAAAAAAAAACAAAACACAAAACACAAAACGGGUCAUUUUUUGCAAAAAAAUGUAAAAUGCAAAUCUGGUCAUUUUUGCAAAAAAUGUAAAUCUAAUUACUUUUGCAAAAAAUGUAAAUUUGAUUAUUUCAUAAAUUCUAUUUUUUUUCUCUUAAAUAAAUAUAUGAAAUGGUUAUUGAAACAAAAAUACAAAAUCGGUUACUUUUGGUUAGUAAUUUAACUAUUAGAUAAAAUUGACUAUUUUUGUAAUUUUCUUUCAAAAGAGAACAUAUGACCAUUUUGUGUAAAACUGAAAAUUUUACCAAAGUGGUCAUUUUCUGAAAUUAUAUCAAUAUAAAAAAAAAUUAGUAUAUCACUACUUAUUUUAAAAGGGGAUUAGUCAUUAUCCUCUUUUAAAAAAAAUAUAUACUUUUUUUUUCUUUUUGUUUUAAUCGUCAAGUAGUGAUACUUAAUUAAUUUAUUUGUUUCUUUUUUUUAAAAAAAAAAAACGUUAAUUAGCAAUUUGCAAAAAAAUAAAAAAAUGAUCUUUUUCAUGUCUAUAUGUUGCAACAAGUUCAUUUUUCAUUAAUUUUUUUCUCACUAUUAAAUAAAAUUUGAGUCAUUAAUUAUCAAUCUUUUUUUUGAAAAUAAAUAAAUAAAAUAUUAAAUACCACCAUGUGUUCGGUUACUAUCCUUGGUGUAUAUUUUUUCUAAAAAGGUGGUCUUGUGUGCGGUUACGUUCCUAGUCCAAUCAUUUUUUAUUUUAAAAAAAUUAGUAAAUAACACAAAUUUAAUUUUUUUAUCCAAAAAUUAUUUUAGUCAAACAUGAGAUAAUAAAGCGGUCGUGCUAGAAUCACGGGACUCGUGCUUUACACCUUUCCUUCUGUCAAUAGAAUUUCUUACUCAAUCUCUAUUUUUGUAGACUAAAAAUAAAGAGUUUUUUUUUCCUCUUUUAAAUUAGGAAUUACCAAGUGACUUGGAACACCUAAAAAACCUAAUUUCAAGUGGUGACUCUAAAAGAUAAAAAAAUAAAAAUCAUUUUUUCUUUUACUUUUAAUUAUAAAAAAAACCAUCAUAUCCUUAACAAUAGUAAAAAAAGGAAGUGGUGUGAUAGAUCUGGUGACUCCGCUGAGGACUUUCUUUAGAAUUCGAGCUUUGUACAUUGACUAUAUCUGACGAUUUUACUUAUUUGGAUAAAAGUUUUUUUGUUUGUUGGCUAAUUGCGCUAUUUCAAUGAUUCAUUCUUUUGAUAUUGUGUGAUUGUAUAUAAAUUGUCUUCUCUUGCACACCCUUCGAGUCUCUAGAAUUUUUGUUAUACAUUAUGUGUGCGGAUACGCUCCACGGGACUUCUGUCUAGGAUGAGCUAGUGUGUUGUUACGCUCCUGGUUCUAGGUUUGUCACACAUGUUAGGCAGGGUUGGAACACCAGUUAAACCGAAAUAGCUCUGCUAUUGGUACGCUGACCCUCAUCAGCUUGAGUUGUCCACUCGAGUAAAGUCAGUCUAGACACCGUCCAUAUAAAGUUGUUAAACCUAGCAAAAACUAUCCUCGGUAGGCUACGUUUAUUUGCAUCAUGUGCAUUUGACCUAGCAAAUCUAAGAUAUGUACCCACUCUAGGCCAACAUGUUCAUUUUAUGUGCUACGUGAAAAUAAUUGGCUCAGAAGGCCUUUACAUUGUUGACCAGCUUUAUAAUAGCUUCGUCUUUCAAUUUUAUUUUAUUUUUAAAAAGAAAAGAGGUUGAAAUAGAAGGGGUGGUCUUUCAAGUGUCAGUCUUUUUUUAUAUGAAUUACGCACACCUGAUUCUCACUAAAAUAAGAUACGUAGACAUAUCUUCUAGGGUUUGGUGUUUGUAAAAAGGGGUAUUUUAUCUUUCUCUUUUAAAAAAAAAUCUCUUUUCACUUUUCUUUCCUCCAUCGGUUAGAGUUUGUCAUAAAACUUUAAUUGGAUUCUAGGUACAAAUGGCACUUCCGACCAAAGGACAGGGUUCCAAAAGGCCUAGAAGUGAAGGAAUUCCAGAAUUUAUAAUCGUUGACACAAUACUCAAGGAUCUAUGGCGAUAGGGGACACACAUGAGGAGUUAUGAGCAAAGGAGAGUAAAUGAACAUUUGGGACAUCUAGUGCAUCUAAUGGAGAUUGACCCAAGAAGGGAUGUGAUGAAGCGUUGAUUCCUUUCUGGGAUCCAAAAACUAACGUAUUUCGAUUUUCUGACUUUGAAAUGACACCAACUCAUGAAGAAAUCACCAGCUUUAUAGGGAAGGGGUCCAGUGUUCGGGGUGCUAAACUCUGCAAUAAAAAACCUAUAAUUCCAAAGAACGUUGAUGCCAAAAAUUUUGUGGAACUUCUCAAGAUCAAUCAAAUAGAGAAGGAGAGUUUGAAAAAUGGGUGGGUCUCAUUGGACUUUCUAUACGAGAGGUACGGCCAAAAGGAUGGAUAUAAAAACUAUCGAAACCAACUUAGCAACCAAUGGGGUGAAGAGGCUUGGAAGGUGAAUGGAUGUUUUACCUUCAUGGUCGCGUUUUUGGGGCUCAUUGUUUUUCCCAAAUGGGACAAGCAUAUCGACAUUCGACUGGCUGGGGUGGUGAAGGCGGAAAGUCCUACUAUUAUUCCUAUGAUCCUGGCAAAUAUGUUCCGUGCAUUGACUAAAUGCAUAAAUGGGGAAAUGUACUUUGAAGGCUGCAACAUCUUGUUGCAAAUAUGGUUCUUGGAAUAUCUUUAUUACCAUAAUUGUGCGCCCAGGGUCACUUCAGACUGGUGUAAUUAUGUUUCCUCCCAUAAGGAAAGGGAAGCAAAAUUCAAUUUUCCAAAAGGAAUUUUAACGUGUGAUGAGAAACUUUCGGUGAUCACGUCUGAUGAAAUAGUGUGGAAUUAUUACUGGUUCCCAACUAAGGAUGUCAUUUGCAUGUCUAGUGGUAUCUUGUUUCUUGUGUUGAUUGGGCUUAGAGGUGUUCAACCCUAUGCCCCACUUCGGGUUAUGCGUCAACUGGCUAGAGUUCAUGUCUAAUGGUAUCUUGUUUCUUUUGUUGAUUGGGCUUAGAGGUGUUCAACCCUAUACCCCACUUCGGGUUAUGCGUCAGCUAGCUAGAGUUCAAGAAAUCCCACAAAAUGAUGAUAUGAGUAGAUUUAUAUUUGACACCCUGCCAGGUUUUGCGUUUGAUAGCACUGAUAUUCUGAAGAUCUGGUUUGGGAGUAUAAUUUCUGAGCUAAGUGAAAUGGUUGUGGACCAAGAUAAAGGAAGAGUGGUGUCUGGGUACGUAUCGUGGUUUCGUGAUCCAAUAACAUUUGGUGACGUUCUCGAAGGAUCCAACAGAAAAAAGAAAAGACCAGCACAUCAUAAGACAGUUGGAAAAAGAGUUGGAAAAGGCCAAAGCCGCCAUGUUCGACAAGAAGUUCAAGUCUAAAGAGGAAGAAAUCACCAGUUGGAGUUACAAGAUGUGGAAGGGGAAUUGAAACAUACAGAUGGGAAAUUAGCUCGGUUAGAGGAAGAGCUGGUUAGUAGAAUUCACUUGGUCCGACAAAUAAAAAAGGAGUAGAGUUUUGAGAUUUCUCGAUUGAAGAGGGACUUAGUGGCAUUUGAAGAGGUCGUGCACAAUCAAAAGGGAGAACUUAAGCGGCAGAAGGAGAAAUUUGAGAAAGAAAGGUCAUGUUGGAUGCAUUUACAUGAUCAACUUAAAGGAUAGUUAGAAAAACAUAAAAGGAAAAUCAGUCAUUGUGUCGAUAUCGAAGAGGGGCAAAGACAAAUGAUCAUUGAGAGAGCAAUACUUCGCCAUCAACUUGAGGCAGCAGAGGAGCGAGAGUCCCUCUUAAGGAACAAACUUGGUGAUCAUCAAUUUUGGUUGAAUAACUGCCAUGAAAAUAUGGGAAGGGCUAGGCGUUAAGUUCAUCAGCUGGCGAAACAAACCUCCUAUGUUAUUAAAAAUCAUCGUCGUAUGAAUGACCCAGAAGUGGCUGUGCAAGCACGGGCAAUUGUUCCCCCUCUGCCGAAUGUGUUGUUGAAUCUGUAUGAGACCUUGGGAGGACAAAGAAAGCCCCAGGAAGAUGAUGAAGAUUGAAGAAGAGUUUAGCUGUUUUUAUUUGUUGUUUGUUUCAUCUUGUUUUGUUUAAGACUCAGUGUUUCAGUUUAAAGUUUGGUGUUCAAGGAGAUCAUGUUGAUCAUGGUUGUGUUUAAACCCAUUGAUUUUGUCGUUUUGAUUAAUUUUUUUGGAAAUGAAUGGAAGGGUUUGGUUUUGCUUGUCUAAAUUAAUGUUGUUGAGUUAUCUAAAUUUCUGAACUACGUAAUGAUUUGAGUCAUGCGGCGACAUGAUACAUAGGCAACCUCCAAAGUGUUCGAUCAAAACUUUUUUUUAAAAGAAAAGAAAAGAAAAGAAAAAAGGAGGAGACAAUAAGCAAAGUAAAGCUGGGAUAAGACAAUGGCCUUUUAAACUCAUGUUACUAUGUGAUUAACAAAUGUGUGAUUGAUGUGUAAAAUUGUCUAACCCCUAACAAGUUUGUUCAUUUCUCUUUAGUUUAGUAAGCUUUCGGUGGAUGGUUUGUGGUAAACUGGCAGAACACCCGUACUUUACCAGGGCUAAGGUAAGAGCAUUAAUGACAACCAAUACUGAAACUGUGGUGAACUCGCUGGAUACUCCAGUUGAUUCAACGACAAGAGAGUCAGCUAUUGUUGAAGAAAAUCGUACAUUGAGACAUGUUAUGGCAUAGUUGUGGCAAGCCUGGGCCAAUGGCCAAGAACCAUCAACGUCUAUUUCUGGUUUUCCUGAGAUCACUAGUAUCCGAUCUUCAUCUUCUCAGGUCCCGAUAUCAGAUCCUUUCUUCCCUCCAGGGUAUGGUCCAUUUGAUAAUUGUGGGGCUGGACCAACAACAACACUCCCUCAAGGCAUGCCAUUCAGGAAUAAUCCCAUUGUCAUGACAGCUGCACUCGUCUAUACUUUCCCACAACCAACUGUGACACAGAGAGCAACUCAAGAGGGACAGGUCACCGCCCAUCCAGAGUAGUACUAUACUCCUGGGAUAGCAUUCGGGGCCCCUAACUCUGUACAAUUUGGCUCCCCUAUGGAUGUUGAGAGGCCCACUCAAGACUCAGAGCAAGAGGAAAUGUUGAAAAACAUGAAAAACAUCGAGCAACACAUGAAAAGUAUGCAAGGGCUAGGAGGGCACAAAAGUAUCGCAUUCAAAGACUUGUGUAUGUUCCUAAAUGUCCACCUGCCACCUUGAUUCAAAACCCCUAAGUUUGAUAAGUAUGACGAGCACGGUGAUCCCAUAUCUCACCUCAAGAGAUACAUCAAUCAACUUAGGGGUGCUGGGGUAAAAAUGAACUACUCAUGGCUUAUUUUGGUGAGAGCCUGACUGGUGUUGCCCCUGAAUGGUUUAUAGACCAAGAAAUCUCCCACUAGCACAUCUGGGAUGAUAUGGCUCAAGAUUUUGUUAGACAAUUUCAGUACAAUGUCGACAUUAUGCCAGAUCACAAUACACUCUCUAAUAUGAGAAAGAAGCCAAAUGAAAGCUUCAGAGAGUAUGCUAUCAAAUGGAGGGAACAAGCAGCCCGGGUCAAGCCACCAUUAGAUGAGUAAAAAUUGGUUGAUAUUUUCAUAGAGGCUCAAGAUCCUAACUACUUCCACCACCUGACAGCCGCAAUGGUAAGAUCGUUUCACACAACAAUCAAAAUUGGAGAAAUGGUCGAAAGUGGUCUCAAAAUAGGAAGGAUCGUGAGCCAGGAGGAAAUCAAAGCUACAACACAAGCCAUUCAAGGUGGUUCAGGCAGUUUUGGAAAUCGUAAAAGAAAAUAGAAAGUUUCUUCGCUAGCAUCAGGGUCAAGGGGUGCUCAAAGGAAUUCUAAUUGUCCUUACCCACCAGUUCAGGGACAAUCUAGCUAUCCUCAACAUUACUACCCUUAUGUUCCUCAAUAUUCAGUGUCUCCAUCUGCAUACACAGUCUUCAAUGCUCAGCAAUAUGUGCAUCCUCCCAAUCGCCAACAUUUUUGGGCCCUAACUCAAGAAAACCUUUGGCCACCACGACCACCCUAUCAGGUCCCUUACAACCCUCCUCCUAGGCAAAAUUAUGCUCAAGAUCAGGGACAAAAAAGGAAAUUCACUCCAUUGGGAGAGUCAUACUCCAACUUGUUUCAAAAGUUAAGAAAGAUAAGAAUGAUUGAGUCUAUCCCACCACAUCGUCUAAAUCCAACUACUCUAGGUUUCCAGGUCAAUGAAAUAUGUGAGUAUCAUUCAGGGGCACAAGGACACAUCACUGAUAAUUGUUGGACCUUGAAGGGAGCGAUAGAUAAGCUAAUCGAUCAUGGGAAAGUUGUUUAGUAAGAUCGGAGAGGAAGACAUGUCGUUAAAGAGUUCAAAACCAGUCGCAUCUUUGAGUAUGGAAGGUGUCAAUCUUGAUACCAAGUUUUGUGUGUCCUGGGGUUUUGAAGGGGAUUGAAGUUCGAGUGGGUAUGCCGAAGUUGUAUGUAUCAAAAGGCCUUUCAUUAACACAACAAGACCAAAGUUGCUUGGCAAAGUUGAAAGAACCUAUCUUUGUUAAGCCCGUCCAGCAACUCCCGGUAACUAAUUCAAAGGCUGUUCCUUGGAACUAUAACAAAAUCAUUGUGGUUUACCGAGGAAAGUAGAUUGUUGAAGAAGUUGAUGAAGCAGGAGGGCUGACACGCUCCGGAAGAUGUUAUUCUCCAGAAGAGUUAAGAAAAGGGAAGAUGACUCAAAAUAUCCAAGUACCACUGAAGAAAGCUGUUACUAAGGAAGAAGCAUAAGGGUUUCUAAAAAAGAUUAAGGUUCCAGAUUACUCUGUUGUGGAACAAUUGAAGAAAACCCCUGCACAGAUUUCACUGUUGUCUUUACUCUUGCACUCAGAAUAACAUCGUCGUGUUGUGAAUAAUAUUUUGAAUGAAGAACAUGUAUCGAAGGAGACCACGGUAAAUCAGUUAGAUAAAAUGGUCAAGGGCAUCUUUGAGUCGAACACCAUCACCUUCAGUGAUGAUGAGUUGCCCACGGAGGGAGCUGGACACAACAUAGCUUUGCUUCUUACAUUGAAAUAUGAAGGGUACUAUGUAAAAAAGGUCAUGAUAGAUUGAGGAUCAGGGGUAGACAUAUGUCCUCUCUCUACGCUGCAAAGCUUGAAAAUUAACCCUGAUAGAAUUCGCCCCAGCAAUGUAUGUAUUCGAGCUUAUGACGGCUCAAGGCGGGAUACCAUUGGUGAAAUCAAGUUGAACUUGACAAUUGGACUGGUGGACUUUAUGAUUAUGUUCCAAGUAAUGGACAUGGACACAUCUUAUAAUUUUCUAUUGGGAAGGCCAUGGAUCCACUUAGCUCGGGUAGUCCCAUCAACUCUGCAUCAAGUUGUUAAGUUUGAAUACUACCAUUAGGAGAUCAUAGUGCAUGGGGAAAAUGAUUUACCUAUUUACAGAGAUCCAUCCAUUCCAUACAUUGAGGACAAAGAAGGAUGUGAUUCCGUUGUUUACCAGUCUUUUGAGGUCGUAUUUGUUGAUCGCUUUAAAGAAGGAGACCCCAUCAUCCAACCAUGUCUCUCUUCUUUCUCUUCAAUGGUAGUAACGACCAUGCUCAAAUAUGAUUAUCAACCUGGUAAAGGUUUGGGACUAUGUUCGCAAGGAAUCAUGGACCCUAUUACUCUUUAGGAAACCAAGGCACCUCUGGCCUCGGAUACAAACAAAGUAAGAUAAAUGGAGAUAAGGCUAAGAACCACAAAAGGACUGAUUGGGCGCUGCCACAACCGAUUCCCCAUAUUUCUCAUUCCUUUAUCAAGUCUCAGGGUCCAGAAAUGGAAGCUUCCUUUACUUAUGAAGACAUUGAAGAAGUUAUUCAGAAUCUCAGUUAGUUGUUUUGUGAAGUAAACAUGGUCCAAGUUGGUGAAGGUUCAAGUCAUGCCGAUGUGCAGCUUGUGGGCUCAGGUUUUGAGCUAAACAAUUAGAAAGCCACUCAUUUCUCAAUAAGGAAUAAGUCUUGGUAGUUCGUUUGCUACUCUUUUGUAUUUUGUUGUUGUCAGGGUUGUGAUCCGAAUAUUUGAAAAUGUUUUGUAUUAGUGUUAACCCUUCUAUUCUUUUUUUCAACUUCAAUGAAAUGAAAUUUCAAUUUCAUAUCAAAUAUCUGUCUUUUCCCCUCCCUUAAUUCUUAUUCCCCAUUUUCCAGUUCUGUAUAUGCCAGCUUUGAUAACAUGACAUGCAUGCGGAAUUCACUCCCAGAUCUCAAAGAGUUGUUUAUUCUUGAAUCACCGAGUCAAGAGGUUGAAUAUGAUGAAGAAGAGGCUUUUAGGGAAAUUAAUAGGGAAUUGGAAUAGUUUGAGCACAAACCUAAGCCUAAUCUUAGGGAAACCGAGGCAAUCAAUUUGGAAAGUAAUGAGGAAGUGAAAGAAAUAAAAAUAAGUCUUCAUGUCAAGAAGGAAAUUAAAGAUGCCAUAAUACAACUUUUGUUUGAAUACAAAGAUGUGUUUGCUUGGUCUUAUGAUGACAUGCUAGGUUUAAGUGUUGAUUUAGUGGUCCAUAAGUUGCCCACUCAUUCUGAUUUUCCACUCGUCCAACAGAAAAGAAGAAAAUUCAAAUCGGACGUGAGUGAAAAAAUCAAGGAAGAAAUCAUGAAACAACUAAAUUCAAAUGUGAUCCAAACCAUUCGUUACAUUACUUGGUUGGCAAAUGUUGUUCCUGUGCCGAAAAAGGAUGGAAAGACAAGAGUUUGUGUUGACUAUCGGGAUUUGAGCAAAGCUAGUCCAAAAGACAACUUUCCCUUGCCCAAUAUCCACAUUCUAGUUGAUAAUUGUGCCAAACACGAAAUUUAAUCUUUUGUGGAUUGUUAUGCUGGGUAUCAUCAAAUCUUGAUAGAUGAAGAGGACGCUGAGAAAACUGCUUUCACCACUCCAUGGGGGACUUAUUGCUACAGAGUCAUGCCAUUUGGUCUUUAAAAUGUUGAGGCAACUUACAUGAGGACUAUGACCACCAUGUUUCAUGAUAUGAUACAAAAGAAAUUGAAGUAUACGUCGAUGACGUAAUCAUCAAGUCUAAAACACAAGCUGACAAUGUUCAAGAUCUGAGAAAAUUCUCUGAAAGAGUGCGGAGGUAUGAUCUCAAGCUUAAUCCAGCAAAAUGUGCAUUUGGAGUUCCAUCUGGAAAACUUGUGGGUUUUAUUGUUAGUAGAAGGGGAAUCAAAUUGGAUCCUUCCAAAAUAAAAGCCAUUUGAGAUUUGCCACCCCCGAAAAAUAAGACCGAAGUCAUGAGUCUACUUGGAAGGUUGAACUACAUCAACAUGUUUAUUGCUCAACUCACAACCACUUGUGAGCCCAUUUUCAGACUUUUGAAAAAGGAUGUUGUUGUCAGCUGGACUGAGGAUUGUUAACAAGCUUUUGGAAAAAUCAAGGAGUAUUUGUCCAACCCUCCCGUAUUGGUCCCGCCUUAACCUGAUAGGCCUCUCUUUCUAUAUCUUUCAGUGACAUAUAAUUCAUUUGGGUGUGUUCUCGGCCAACACGAUUCCACAGGCAGGAAGGAGCAAACUAUCUACUACCUGAGCAAAAAAUUCACUAGUUAUGAGGUCAAGUACACCCUCUUCGAAAGGACAUGUUGCGCCCUAACUUGGGUAGCCCAAAAGUUAAGGCAUUACCUUUUGUCCUACACAACUUACCUCAUAUCUAGGAUGGAUCCUUUGAAGUACAUCUUUCAGAAGUCAAUGCCAACUGGCAGACUCGCAAAAUGGCAAAUCUUGCUCACUGAAUUUGACAUUAUAUAUGCCACUCGAACUGCAAUGAAAGAUCAAGCUUUGGCAGACCACUUGGCAGAGAAUCCAGUUGAUGGCGCCUACGAAACAUUGGAUACUUAUUUUCUAGAUGAAGAGAUUAACUUAGUUGAAGAAGUGGAUUCAGAUGAAAAUCAGGCGUAGCAAUUAUACUUUGAUGGAGCAAUCAACAAAAAAGGCACAGGGAUUGGGGCAGUUCUCAUAUAGCCCAUAGGGCAGUAUUACCCUGCAACGGCCCGACUUCGUUUCUUCUGUACAAAUAACACAACAGAGUAUGAAGCUUUGCAUCAUGGGUCUAAAUAUGGAAAUAGAUUUUGGGUGUGCAAGAAUUGAUUGUGUUGGAGAUUCUGAUUUGCUUAUUCGGCAAGCUCAAGGCGAAUGGAAAACUCGAGACCUCAAGCUUCUUCUAUACAAACAAUGUGUGGAAGAUCUUAGCAAAAGGUUUAGGUCCAUCGAGUUGAGAUGCAUCCUCAUAUUUCAUAAUGAAUUGGCAGAUGCCUUGGCUACUUUGGCCUCAAUGCUUCCAUAUCCUGGAAACACUUGCAUUACCCCUUGGAGAUUCAACUUCGAGACCAACAUGGCUAUUGUAACACUGUGGAAGCAGAAUCAGAUGGUGAACCGUGGUACCUAGACAUCAAGAAUUUCUUGCAAACAGGGAAAUGUCCCGAACAUGCCAAUGGAAGCCAAAAAAAUGACUAUUAGACGCCUGGCUAAUGGGUUUUUUUUGAACGGUGAAGUUUUAUAUAAAUGAACCCUGAAUCUGAACUUAUUGAGAUGUGUGGAUGUUGAAGAAGCCGAGAAGAUCAUGAAUAAAGUACAUGUUGGGGUAUGUGGACCACACAUGAAUGGAUAUGUCCUUGCAAAAAAGAUACUUUGAGCAGGAUAUUACUGGCCUACCAUGGAACGAGAUUGCUUUCACUUUGUGAAAAAAUGUCAUCAGUGUCAAAUUCAUGGUGAUCUCAUUCAUUCACCUCCUUCAGAGUUACAUCCCAUGGCCGCUCCUUGGCCCUUUGUUGCAUGGGGAAUGGAUGUCAUCGGACCAAUUGAGCCAAAAGCUUUUAAUGGACAUCGAUUCAUUUUGGUCGCAAUUGAUUACUUUACCAAAUGGGUGGAGGUGAUCACUUUUAAAGAAGUCACUAAGAAGGCGGUCGUGGAUUUUGUCCAUUCGAACAUCAUUUGUCGAUUUGGUAUCCCAAGAGCUAUCAUAACAGAUAAUGCUACAAACCUUAAUAACAAUUUGAUGAAAGAAGUAUGUGAGCAGUUCAAAAUUGUGUAUCACAAUUCUACUCCAUACCGACCAAAAGCCAACGGAGCUGUGGAGGCUGCCAACAAGAAUAUCAAAAAGAUUCUCAGGAAGAUGGUUCAAAACACCAGACAAUGGCAUAAGAAGCUACCUUUCACAUUUUUGGGAUACUGCACAAUAGUGCGCACCUCGAUUGGCGCAACUUCGUAUUUGCUGGUGUAUGGGACUGAGGCUAUGACACCAGCAGAAGUCGAAAUUCCAUCUAUUCAAAUUAUUGUCGAGGCUGAAAUUGAAGGUACUGAAUGGGUCAAAACCUGACUAAAGUAGCUCAUAUUAAUAGAUGAGAAACAAUUGACGGUCGUUUAUUUUGGUCAACUGUAUCAGCAACGGAUGGCUCGUGCAUACAACAAAAAGAUGCACCCAAGACAAAUUGAAGUAGGUCAACUAGUCUUAAAGCGCAUUCUCCCGCACCAAGAAGAAGCCAAGGGAAAGUUCGCCUCAAAUUGGCAAGGUCCAUAUCUUAUCAAGGAAGUGUUUUCCAAAGGAGCCUUUCACCUUACGGACGUGGAGGGAAAAAAUCGCAAGCAUGAUUGUUAAUGCGGACGCAGUCAAAAGAUACUACAUCUAAUGUGUUCUAAGAUACUGUGGCAAGUUUAUAGUUGAGAGAACAAAGGCAUCUCUUUAAAAAAAUAGAAAAACAAACCAAAAAUCCUCUCUUUUAAAAUUUGAACUACGUUUGACCUGAUUCCGAAAUGAUACGUAGGCAACCCUUUAGGGUUCGGCCAUACCAAAAAAAAUCAAUAUUCCAGUAUUUAUAGAAAACUGGGGCAUUUUUUUUAUAGAAUAGUGUCAAAUUGUAAUUUCAUUUAUGAUUUUAUUCUAGCAACUAACAUUUUGAUCAACUCUAAGAAUGAUAGAUUCAAUGUGUCUUGCACGGACAAUUGAUCAUACAACAUUGUUGAAAAAAGAGAAAAAACUUUUGAGUGAAAACCCUUGUGAGCACCUUAAGUAAAAAAAAUAAAAAUAAGAGAGUCUCAUCGGUGAAAACCUUUAUAGGCACCAUAAGACGACAAGAGAGAAAAUCUUAUCGGUGAAAACUCUUACGGGUACCUUCAGAUAAAAGAAGAAAACAUCAUGAAAAUUACUAAUAGGAAGAAAUUUGCAAAGAUUACCAUUUCUCGAUACCUCUGCAUGAAGAAUACAUAGAUUAGUUAUAAAUUGAUAAUGGUUUAGAUUUUGAGAAUUAAACAACUCAAACGGAUCCAGGGUCAAGUCCAAAGUGCAUGUCAUGGUUCACUCAAAGUCGACAUAUGCCUCCAGAUAAGUUCUCUUUCUCAUUUUUCUUCAAAAAGAAAUGCCCUUCCUUAAGUUUAUAGUCUUUCUUGAUCCAAUUUUUCACACUCUUAAGUCUGAUAUUUUUCUAGUCUUUUCGGUAUAAUCUCUUGACAAAAUAAGGUAAAAGAUUGCAAAGCUUACUACGGGUUUCCAAAAGUAAAGUUGAGUAUCCGAGUUGACAUGCCAUCGAACAAGGACUAAAAACACCCAGAUCUUCACUGAAAACUCAUGAAGGAACACGAUAUAGUCUCUCAAGUCAUGAAAACAAAAUUCAAAAGGAAAAUUCAUUCUUUGGGACAUAAUCGCACCAUGAUAUUUGAUAGUACCAAAAAGAUCAAGGCCCCUGAAUUGACAAAGAGAAAGCUUCAAAGGUUGUUCAACCAAGGAUUUGGAGUACAAUUGGAGAAAUUGGUCAGGAGUAUGGUCAAGUCAUCGGAGCAUCAAGGCCAUAAACUAACUACCACUUUAAACUAACAAUUUUCUCUUUCUUUUGCUCAACACAGGAACAAAAGAAAAUGCGGGAAUACAAGUCAAAAAUGAAACAUCACAAAAAAGAAGUUCUCCAAAGUCUUCACAUGUUUGUUGUUUCAUCUCAUGCUAUUCGCAUUCUUGCCUCUCAAUUUGAGAGCUUCGGGCAAUACGCACCAAUCUAAAUUCCGUGCAAUAUGCACACGUCCUUUAUUCAUGUGCAAUACGCACCAUCCUUUAUUCAUGUGUAAUACGCACCAGUCUGAAUUCCGUGCAGUACGCACCAAUCUGAAUUCCGUGCAAAUACGCACCAAUCCUUUAUUCACGUGCAAAACGUACUAGUUUUUCUUUCAUGAGCAAGACGUACCAAUCAAAAUCCCAUGCAAUACGCAUCGAUAUUGCAUUCAUGUGCAAUACACACUAGUCUUCUUUCAUAUGCAAUGCGCACCAGUCCUUAUUCACAUGCAAUACACAUCAAUUCUCUAUUCCUGGGCAAUACGCACCAUAUGCAUAUCCUGGGAAAUACGCACCAACAUUCAUGGGUUAUACGCACCAUAUUCGCAUUUUUGGGGAUACACCCAAUCUUAGGACAAUCCACAAAGACAAUACGUCUUAUUUGAAACUCUCAGGGUAACACGCCCCACUUCUCCUUUUCUUUCUAGGGUUAUACGUCCUAGUUCAAGAUUCUCAUUUUUUUCUUCCCUAAAAGAAACACAUCCUUUUUGUGUUCUUCAUUUUGUGAUCUUGAGUUUUGAGUAUUAACCGCCAACUCAAGUUAAAACAUGCACCUGAGAAUGAUCCACAAGCAGCCAAGAGAGCAUGAAGAUCAAUCUCAGAGAUCAAGACGAGACCCUAAGAAAAAACAUCAAGAAGGGAUCUUGUAACUCUUAUAAUGUAGAGAGGCAUAGUUCUGUAGCUCUUUCUUUGUAAUUAUAGACAGUAGAUGAUGACAAGCAAUAUGAAGCAAUCUUUUGACCAUAAUUUCUGAUAGUUUCGACUAUCAAAGUUUCUCGAACUACACUGACCUGAUUUCCUUUUAAUCAAGGGUAUGUAGGCAACCUCUAAACCAAGGUUCGGUCAUAUUUUUCAAAAUGGCAUCAACGGAGUUUGAAACAAAAAAAAUUUAGUCACUUCGUUCACUUUCUUCGCUUGAAAACUCUUCAUGUUUUCAAGCAAAGAGGGGCAUGUUGUUCUCACCUAAUUUUUGACAUGUUUAUUUUACUCCUACAAUAUCUAUAGUAAGGCCUUUUCUUAUAAUUUUGUUUUGUAUUUUGGGUUGUUUGUCUUUGGUUGUAUUGUUUUUUUAAUUGGUUCAAAUGACCCAAUUUUGAUUGAAUUUGGCUGAUUUAAACCAAAUUCUGAUGGCCCAAUCAAUUUUGACUCGGUCCAAUAGAAAUAGUCAAGAUUGAAUCCUAACCAUUCAUGAUAUUUUAAUCCAAUGACUCAUAGGGACCCUACCAAAAAAUACAAAACUCCAAAAACUAAAAAAAUUUAUUUGGAUUUUAUUUUUUUCUUCCCUUUGAUUCCACCUGCCGCCGCCACUGUUGCCGCCGGCCACCACCCUUUGGCUGGAAAAAUCUCCAAAAAUUUACCAUUUCUUCCUUUCACCCUCCUCUACACAAAUCCGCAAAUGAUUCAUCCUUAUCCAUAGCCAAACUCCGUAUAUAUAUGAAAAACCAAAUAUAAAAUUUCACUUUUUCUUUAGAUUUACGGAGUUUCGGUCAUCCCCAUCGUAUACCCUUUACAUAAAUGUGUAGAGCUCUUCAAGGGCUAUCCUUUGAUAGAAAUUUUAUGUCCAAAAUCAGUCAAAAAAAUUUCGGCAAAGUUUUUCGGCGACCCCCAUUCACCCGAAAAUUUAUGUCAAUCUUUUUCCCCUCUCAUCCUCUAUCCAAAUCAGUCAUUAUCACAUUUUUUCUAACCAUAUAAGUCGUUUUGGUGCCGGAUUUGUAUUGUUUUGUUAUUGUUCUUCAAGUUUUAUCAUGUUGAAGUUGUCGCUUGAGUUUUAUUUUUUUUGAAUUUCGUUUUUAUUUUUUAUUUUUAUUUUCUAUCUUAUUUGUUGUGUUUGAUCUUCAAAAUAGUUUAGAUGUUUAGCUUUUGUGUUAGUGGGUUGAUUUUCUUUUGAUUUUUAGGUCUUGAUCAAAUGGGUCUACAUUUUGGGCCUAUUUUAAAUUUUUACAUGACCCAUUUAGCUAUUAUUCAAUUAAUGAAUAAAAGAAAUGAGUAAUCUAAAAUGACAUUUUGGGCCUAUUCUAAAUUUCCAGAUGACCCAUUUAACUAUUAUUCAAUUAAUGAAUAAAAGAAAUGGGUCAUCUAAAAGGCAAUACAUUUUAAUUAAUUUUAUUUUGGGAAAAGAAAAUGAAAAAAGAAAAGAGAAAAUUCUAUUGGUCAUCUUUGGUGGCACCUUGGGAAGACAAAGAGUCCAAUGCAUGCAUUGGCUCUUAAGUUUUCAAGAAGAAUGGGUGUUAAUAUUCACACCUAUUUAAACCCAUUCUUCUUUCAUUUAAAAGAAAUACAAAAAAAGAACAAGAACAUAAAAUUAGAAGAGGGAAAACUAUAUUUCUCAAUGUAACUUCAAAAUAAUAAUGAAGCAUGUUUAUAUUUUUCAUUAAAUUAUUAUGUUUAGUUUAUUUGAAUUAGUUAAAUAUGUUAUGAUAAUUAAUAUGAUUAUGUUUCGUUGUUAUUGUAUAUUUGUGUUUUAUUAUUAAACUAGGUGUUAAUUCUUUCUUUAUCAUUAUGAAGUUGAUACAUAACUUUAUUGGAAUUAGUUAAAUUUGUGUUGUUGUUAUUAUAUAUUUGUGUUCUAUUAUUAAACUAGGUGUUAAUUCUUUCUUUAUCAUUAUGAAGUUGAUACAUAACCCAUGCUUUUGCUAAAAAAAAAAAAACCAAUCCCAAAGUUUUUUUUUAGUUUCUGGUCAUUUUAAGAAAAGAAAAAAAGAGGCUGCUUUUUGCAAAAGAAAAACACAAAAUUGGUCAUUUUUUGCAAAAAAAUGUAAAUCCGGUAAUUUUUGCACAAAAAUGUAAAUCAGGUCAUUUUUAGAAUAAAUGUAAAUCUGUUCAUUUUUGCAAAAAAUAUAAAUUUAAUCAUUUCAUAUAUUCCAUUUUUUUCUCUCUUAAAUAAAUAUAUGAAAUGGUUAUUGAAAAAAAAAUACAAAACCGGCUACUUUUGGUUAGUAAUUUAACUAUUAGAUAAAAUUGGCUAUUUUUGCAAUUUUCUUUCAAAAGAGAACAUAUGACCAUUAUGUUUAAAACUGGAAAUUUUACCAAAGUGGUCAUUUUCUGAAAUUAUAUCAAUAUAAAAAAAUUUAAGUAUAUCACUACUUGUUUUAAAAGGGGCUUAGUCAUUAUCCUCUUUUAAAAAAAUAUAUAUACUUUUUUUUUCUUUUUGUUUUUAUCGUCAAGUAGUGAUACUUAAUAUAUUUAUUUGUUUCUUUUUUUUUUUAUAAAAAAAACGUUAAUUAGCAAUUUGCAAAAAAGAAGAUCUUUUUCAUGUCUAUAUGUUGCAACAAGUUCAUUUUUCAUUAAUUUUUUUCUGAUUAUUAAAUAAAACUUGAGUCAUUAAUUACCAAUCUUUUUUUUAAAAAAUAAAAUAAAAUAUUAAAUACCACCAUGUGUUCGGUUACGAUCCUUGGUGUGUAUUUUUUCUAAAAGAGUGGUCUUGUGUGCGGUUACGCUCCUAGGCCAAUCAUUUUUUAUUAAAAAAAAUUUAGUAACUAACACAAAUUUACUUUUUUUAUCCAAAAAUUAUUUUAGCCAAACAAUGAGUUAAAUAAAGCGACUGUGCUAGAACCACGGGACUCGGGGGGAGCCUCACACCUUCCCUCCGGUCAAUAGAAUUCCUUACCCAAUCUCUGUUUUCGUAGACUAAAAAUAAAUAGUUUUUUUCCUCUUUUAAAUUAAGAAUUACUUGGUGACUUGGAACACCUAAAAACCCAAUUUCAAGUGGCGACUCUAAAAAAAGCAUUUUUUCUUUUACUUUUAUAAAAACAAACCUAUCAUACCCUUAACAAUAGUAAAAAAAGGAAGUGGUGUGACAGCUUAGGGAGCAACAAUUGUAUGCUAAUCUAUCCAAUUGCCCGUUUUGUGUCAAUAAAGUAAUCUUUCUUGGUUUUGUGUUAGCUCGAAUGGUGUUGAAGUUGAUGAAGAUAAAAUUAAAGCAAUAAAAGAAUGGCCUAUUCCUAAGAGUGUGACUGCAACGAGGAGUUUUCAUGGACUUGCUAGUUUUUAUAAGAGAUUUGUGAGGGAGUUCAGUACAAUUGUUGCACCAUUAACGAAAGUUAUUAAAAAUGAUAAGGUAUUUAAGUGGGGAAAAGAACAAAAGCAUGCAUUUAAUGUCUUGAAAGAUAAGUUGUGUUCCGCUCCUUUGUUACAAUUACCUGAUUUUCCUAAAUCUUUUGAAGUUGAAUGUGAUGCUAGUGGAAAAGGUAUAGGGCUGUUCUAAUGCACGAUUCUAAGCCUAUUGAAAAAUAAGGUAUUUAAGUGGGGAAAAGAAUAAAAACAUGCAUUUAAUGUCUUGAAAGAUAAGUUGUGUUCUGCUCCUUUGUUACAAUUAUCUAAUUUUUCUAUAUCUUUUGAAGUUGAAUGUGAUGCUAGUGGAAAAGGUAUAGGGGCUGUUCUAAUGCAAGAUUCUAAGCCUAUUGCAUAUUUUAGUGAGAAAUUGAAUGGAUAUACAUUGAAUUAUUCUACUUAUGAUCGUGAAUUGUAUGCCUUGGUAAGGGCUUUGGCUACUUGGAAACAUUACUUAUGGCCGCACAAGUUUGUGAUAAAGACUCACCAUGAAUCAUUAAGGUACUUGAAAAUCCAAGCUAAGUUAAGUAAACGACAUUCCAAGUGGGUGGAGUUCAUUGAGACGUUCCCUUAUGUGAUUUCAUACAAAUAAUGUAAGGAUAACGUGGUGGCUGAUGCAUUGUCCUGAAGGUACGUUCUUGUUUCCACUCUUACUUCUAAGCUAAUGGGAUUUGAUUACAUUAAAACUUUGUAUGCUAAUGAUUCAAACUUUGGAGUUGCUUAUGAUGCAUGUUUGAAGGGACCCUUUGAGAAAUUCACUCUACGUGAUGGGUUCCUUUUCAAGGAAAAUGAGUUGGGUGUGACAAUAUGUUCAUUGCGUGAUGUUUUUGUAAGAGAGGCACAUUGUGGGGGGCUUAUGGGUCACUUUGGAGUGCCAAAAACCGUAGACAUACUUGCUGAAAAUUUCUAUUGGACUGGCAUGUGCAAAGAUGUAGAAAAAUUUUGUGCACAAUGUUUAGAAUGUAAACAUGCUAAAUCUAGUGUUUUACCACAUGGGUUGUAUACUCCGUUGCAUGUUCCAAUUUCUCCUUGGAUAGAUAUAUCUAUGAAUUUUGUCUUAGGUUUACCAAAAACUAAAAAGGUUCCAAUUUCUCCUUGGAUAGAUAUAUCUAUGAAUUUUGUCUUAGGUUUACCAAAAACUAAAAAGGUUCCAAUUUCUCCUUGGAUAGAUAUAUCUAUGAAUUUUGUCUUAGGUUUACCAAAAACUAAAAAGGUUCCAAUUUCUCCUUGGAUAGAUAUAUCUAUGAAUUUUGUCUUAGGUUUACCAAAAACUAAAAAGGUUCCAAUUUCUCCUUGGAUAGAUAUAUCUAUGAAUUUUGUCUUAGGUUUACCAAAAACUAAAAAGGUCAAGGACAAUGUCUUUGUUGUGGUGGAUUGAUUCUCCAAGAUGGCUCGUUUCAUUCCAUGCUUGAAAACUAAUUAUGCUUCUCAUAUGGCUGAUUUGUUUGUUAAGACGGUGGUGAAAUUACAUGGCAUACCUAGAACUAUUGUUAGUGAUAGGGAUGUUAAGUUUUUAAGUCACUUUUGGUGUGUUCUUUGGGGAAGGUUAGGGACCAAAUUGUUAUUUUCUAUUUCUUGCCACCCACAAACUGAUGGGCAAACUGAGGUGCUGAAUAGAACUUUAGAGAACAUGUUGAGGGCUGUUUUGAAAGAUAAAUUAACUUCUUGGGAUGAUCACUUGCCUUUGGUGGAAUUUGCUUAUAAUAGAACUAUUCAUUCUUCUACUGGGUCUUCUCCUUUUGAAGUUGUUUAUGGUUUUAACCCCUUUACUCCCCUUGAUUUAGUGCCACUACCUACUAAUGAUAUUACUAGUCUUGAUGGAAAGAAUAAAGGUGAGAUGAUGAGGAAGAUACAUGGACAGACUAAACUGGCCAUUGAAAGAUGGAAUAAACAGGUUGCCUUACGACGAAACAAAGGGCAAAAUCAAGUAUUUUUAAGCCUGAAGACUUAGUUUGGAUUCACAUGCAUAAAGAAUGGUUUCCGCAUCCUUAGGGCGAUGGACUCUUCAAAGUUCUCGAGUGAAUUGGAGACAAUGCUUACAUGUUGGAUUUGCCUGGUGAGUAUCAAGUAAGUGCUACUUUCAAUGUUGCUGACUUGUCCUUGUUUGAUGUAGGAUCUAAUUUGAGGACAAAUUAUUUUCAAGAAGAGGGGGAUGAUAUCUCUAAGGGCACAGAUGAGGCUAUAGAAGCCCAACAAGACCAUCAAGGUCUCAAGAUAAGGAGUUACAAGGCAAGGUCGUUGGGCUUCAAUGUAAAAUCAAGAAGAUGCUUAUCAUGGAAGAAAAUCCCAAGAACGAGACCAAGAAUUGUGGAGAAGAAUGGAGUAAGUGCUACACAUAUUUUGUGGUUCAAGUCCAAGCCCAAAUGGAAGAAGAUUGGGCCACACGAAGCCCCACAAAGGAGCCCAAAAAGCUAAACGGUUAAAGUCAAAGUUUCCUAGUAUAAAAACUUAUUUAUUUUAAAGUUUCCUAGUUUAAAAGUUUCCUAGUUUAAAGUUUCCCUAGUUUAAAGUUUCCAUAAAAGUAGGAUUUAAACCCCAUUCUAUUUGGGAUAGGUUUUCCUUUUAUAUAGGGGUUGAUUUUAUUAUUUUACACACAUGAUUAUUAUUAAUUGAGAGUUUCUCUUCUUUACACCUUUGUGUGUGGCUACUUGUGAUUUAUCUUACAACCUUAUAAGAACGAUUCUUAAGAGGUGGGAUUAAUUCUUUAACUUGAUAUAUUUGGUUCUUAUUUGUAAAUUAAAGAAGGUAAUUAGUUUUAUGCUAAUUAUUGUCUCUAGUUUCUACAAAAUAGGGGUCUAGAUCACUUUUUUUAAUCUAAGUUCUUGAAUUGGCUCUAUUAGUAUCAUAAAUUAGCUUUAAUCCGCUAAUUCUUGAGUAUUAAGAUCAAUUAGGGUUCUUAGCACAUCUUUUUAAUUUGGGGAUUUUCUCCUCAAAUUUCGCAUAUCUUUCAAUUCCUGUCUUUUAUCUUAGUAUUUUCGCUUGCGCAUUAAUUUCUUGUUUAUUCUGGUAACCCGAUUCUUAUCAUAAGGUGUUGAUGAUUAUGGGGGUGACGCCGGUGAAAAAGGCGAAAUUGGCCGCUUACCAACUUAUGGGUGUUGCUCAAAUUUGUUUAAUCAAUGGAAGGAAGGGAGGCAGUUGAUGCAAGUCCUCUCAAUUGGCAAAAACUUAAGGUUGCUUUCCUUGAUAGGUUUUUUCCCCUUGAUAUAAGGGAGGCAAAGGUACUAGAAUUCAUCAACCUUCGUCAAGGAAACAUGAGUGUAAAAUAAUAUGCUUUGAAGUUCACACAAUUUUCUAGAUGCUCUUACAAUGAUUGUCGACUCUAGGGAAAGGAUAAGUAAGUUUGUUUCGAGUGUGUCCGAGAUGGUAGUCAAACAAUGUCGUACUACCAUGCUUACCAAUGAUAUGGACAUUUCUCAGCUGGUACAUGCUCAACAAAUAGAUGAGGAGAAACUUAAUGAAAUAUCUGGACAGGUGAAGAAGGCAAAGACUGGAGAAGGUGAUUUUUCACAUUAAAGGUCCGAUGGACAUGUUCGUUCUAGGUUUCUACAAAGGUCUUCCGCUCAAGGUUUCUCCAAUACUCCUUUUAGAUUCAACAAAGAUAGGGUGUCUAACCCUAAGACUCAAGGAGGAAAUGGUGAUGGAUCUUCAUUGUCUACAUGUGCUAAGUGCGGAAGGAAGCAUGAGGGUAAGUGUUUAGCCAGUAUGGAUGGUUGCUAUGGUUGUUGUAAGAGUGGCCAUAAGAUAAGGGAUUGUCCAACACUUACGGCUAAGGGAAGAAAAGGUAGGCAAGCUUCACCUAGUAGUUCGAGUUCAGGUGCUUCUAAGCAAAAAAAAAAUUAUGCACUCCAGACUCGUCAAGAGCAAGAGGGUUCUCCCGAUGUGGUUACUGGUAUGUUGAAAGUCUUUUAUCUUGAUGUUUAUGCUUUUCUUAAUCCCGGUGCUAUCUUGUCUUUGUGACACCAUAUGUGGCUAUGAGGUUUGAUAUUCUUCCAGAUGUAUUGUUAAAUCAGUUUUCAGUCUCUACUCCUAUCGGUGAAUCUAUUGUGGCUAAGAGAGUCCAUAGAAAUUGUCUUAUUUUCUUACCCCAUAGAGUCACUCGUGUUGAUCUUGUAGAGCUAGAUAUGCUAGAUUUUGAUGUAAUUCUUGUUAUGUAUUGGUUGCAUUUGUGUUAUGCUUCUAUUAAUUGUAGGACUACAGUGGUGUAGUUUUAGUUUCUAAAUGAGCCUAUCCUAGAGUGGAAAGGGGAAAAUUCUAUGUCGAAAGGUUGGUUUGUUUCUUAUCUUAAAGCUAGAAAAAUGAUUUCUAAGGGUUGCAUUUACCAUCUAGUUAGGGUCAGGGAUAUAGAUUCUGAAACCUCUACUCUUGAGUCGGUCCCUAUUGUAAAUGAGUUCCCGAAAGUGUUUCUAGAUGAUCUACCUGGUAUUCCUCCUGAAAGGGAAAUAGACUGCGAUAUUGACCUUCUUCCAGAUACGCAACCUAUCUCUAUUCCUCUUUACCGAAUGGAUACAGUAGAACUAAAGGAAUUGAAAGAGCAAUUGAAGGUUUUGUUGGAUAAGGGUUUCAUCCGACCAAGUAUUUAUCCAUAGGGUGCUCUAGUUUUGUUUGUUCAAAAGAAAGAUGGUUCACUCCGUAUGUGUAUUAACUACUGGAAAUUGAACAAGGUUACCAUUAAGAAUAAGUAUCCUCUCUCAAGGAUAUAUGAUUUGUUUGACCAACUACAAGGAGCAAACUACUUCUCUAAGAUUGACCUCCGAUCAAGUUAUCACCGGUUGAGGGUGAAGGAAGAUGAUAUUCUGAAAAUGGCUUGUCUAACUCAAUAUGGUCAUUAUGAGUUUUUGGUGAUGUUCUUUGGCUUGACUAAUGCUCUGACCACUUUUAUGGACUUGAUGAAUAGGGUGUUUAGGUAAUACCUUGACAUGUUUGUGAUUGUGUUCAUUGAUGAUAUAUUGAUCUAUUAAAGGAGUGAAGAUGAGCAUACCGAUCAUUUGAGGGUUGUGUUGCAAGUCCUCAAGGACUAAUAACUCUUUGAAAAGUUUAGUAAAUGUGAGUUUUGGUUGAAGUCUGUGGGUUUUGUUAGUCACAUUGUUUCCGGAAAGGGUAUUGAGGUAGAUCCUAAGAAGAUGGAUGUGGUAAAGAGUAUGCCUAGACCUCUAUCCCUAUAAGAUAUUAGAAGUUUCUUGGGUUUAGCCUAUUACUAUAAAAGGUUUGUUGAAGGGUUAUGGUCUGAAGCAUGUGAGAAGAGUUUUCAAGAUUUGAAAGACAGACUUACUUCCGCUCCAUUGUUGACUUUACCGAAAGGAACCGAUUGGUUUGUUUUUUAUUAUGAUGCUUCAAGAAUUGGACUAUGAAGUGUCCUUAUGCAAAAUAGGAAAGUCAUUGCCUAUGCCUCAAGGCAACUUAAGGUGCAUGAAAACAACUAUCCUACCCAUGAUUUAGAACUAGCGGCGGUUGUGUUUGCUUUGAAAAUUUGGAGGCAUUACUUAUAUGGUGUUCAUGUUGAUGUUUUUACUCACCACAAAAGUUUACAUUAUAUGUUCAAUCAAAAGGAACUAAAUCUUUGCCAAAGAAGGUGGCUUAAGUUACUAAAGGACAAUGACAUGAGUGUUCUCUAUCACCCAGGUAAGGCAAAUGUGGUAGUGGAUGCCCUUAGUCGAUUAUCAAUGGGUAGUGUUGCUCAUGCAGAUGGUAGUAAGAAGGAGUUGGUUCGGAAUGUUCAUAGAUUGGCCCGAAUGGGUGUUUGAUUUAUAGACUCUACCAAGGGUGGUGUUAUGGUUCAAAAUGGUUCAGAAUCGUCUUUUGUGGCAGAUGUGAAAGCCAAGCAAGGUCUUGAUCCGACUUUGGUGGAAUUGAAUGAAACGAUGCUUAAAAAGUCCGUAGAGGCUUUCUCUCAAGGGGGAGCUGGUUUGCUUCGUUAUCAAGGUCGUUUGUGUGUUCCUAAUGUAGAUUACUUGUGAGACAAAAUUUUAUUAGAAUCCCAUAGUUCUCGAAUUGCAUUAACUUGGGAGCCACCAAGAUGUACAGUGACUUGCGGGAGGUCUAUUGGUGGAAUGGGAUUAAGAAGAACAUUGCGGAAUUUGUGGCUAAGUGUCCUAAUUGUUAACAAGUGAAGGUUGAGCAUUAGAAACCGGGGGGUUUUUCCCAAGAUAUUAGUAUUCCUGCUUGGAAGUGGGAAGAUCUGAAUAUGGACUUCGUUGUUGGAUUACCUCGUACCCGAUGACAAUAUGACUCGAUUUGGGUAAUAGUAGAUCAAAUGACGAAAUUAGAUCAUUUCAUUCCCGUCAAAUUUUCUUACUCGGUGGAGGACUAUGCUAAGUUGUAUUUGAGAUAAAAUGUUAUGUUGCAUGGAGUGCCCUUGUCCAUUAUCUCCGAUCGUGGUACCCAAUUCACUUCUCAGUUUUGGAAAUCCUUCCAAAAGACUCUUGGUACUUGGGUUAAGCUUAGUACGGCCUUUCAUCCGCAAACCGAUGGACAAACGGAGCGUACUAUCCAAACUUUGGAAGAUAUGAUGAGAGAAUGUGUAAUUGACUUCAAGGAUAAUUAGGAUGAUCACUUGCCGUUGAUUAAAUUUGCGUAUAACAAUAGCUAUCAUCUUAAUUUACCUUGUAGAUAAAUUGAAGGUGAAGAAUUUGUAGAUUUCUUAUGAAUGUAAGUUGGUCUUGCAAAGUGAAAAUGAGUUAAGUUACUGAAUGUCACAUACUAUAAAUAUCAGCGGGAAAAAAGUUUGAAAUAUAUCCGAACUUUGACCGAAAUUGUUGUUGUAACACCCUAAUACUAACCAAGAGUCACAUGUCGAUUUACCGUUGCUUAAUUACUAGAAUAUGUUUUAGUCUCAUUUUGGGAACUUGAAGUGUUCUGAUAGUUGCCAACUUGCUUAGCAUAAAUUCUUAUCGUAAUUUAAGGAUUUGUGAUGGGGUGUUUAGGUAAUAUUCUAAUUAGAAUUAUGUUUAACUUUAAAAGGAGAUGAGGGAUAUAUAUAUAAGUGUAUAUGUAUACAUUUUGGGCAGCACACAAUUUUUUGGGCAGCACCUUUGAAGGACAGCUGCCCAAGGGAUAAACAUCACUUGUUGACUAUAUAUUUUCACCCCUCCUUUAGUAAUUUCAUUUUCCUCAAGCCUUAAAACCUUAGAAACAUAUCUAAACAGAGUGUACUUCAAAAUCACAAGAGAAACUUGGCCCUUUUGGCUGGAAUUCAAGAACACACACUUCUUGUUGGUAAGUGUCGAAAUUUGUUUCUGAACUGGGUAGUGUUUAGUAUUAUAUGCAUAUCUCUCGCUCUAAAACUUAGUUUACAGUGAGUAAAUAUGAUUUGGAAAGCUAAUUCGUAGACCUACGACUCUUAUGUUUCUGUCAAACUCUGAUUCGGCUGUUAUAGACUCGAAAUAUGGGACGCAACAUAGAACCAGUUCUGUCCAGAUUUUGGAAUUUCAGUUUCUGUAUGAACAGCUGUUAGUGUUUUGACUAUAUCUUGUUGUACAAAAUACAUUUUGCGGUGAUUCUGUUUGUUUGCAACCCUAAGAGAUGUAUCUACAUAUUUCAUGAAGGUUAUAAAGUCUAGUUUUGUUGUUUUCCAUUUCAAAUCUAAGUUGCGACAUGAGGUACUAGGCUGGCCAGAAUCACUGUUUUGGGAGCAUUGUUGUGGUUGUGCAGGCUAAUUUUACUUGUGAUGAUGAUCUUAUUUUACAUCAAUAUUAUCGAGCUGCUAGGGAUUAAAGCAGUUGUUUAAUUGUAUUUUAAAGAUUGUAUGUACUCGUGAACAAGUUGAGGACCUUGAUACAUUGGUUGGACUGUUUCUUUGCCAAAGCACUGAGGUUUGUGUAUAAACUUGUACUUGCACUCUUUUAACUUCUAGUAUAUCUGAAAUUUCAUCUUGGGACCUUGGUUACCUCUUGUCACUUUGCAUUGUUGUGUUGGUAUCCUUUGAGACGUUAAAGACGCUUGUGUAACUCACCCACUUGUAUGAAUUGUUUGAUCACCUGGCACUCUUGUUGGGACCUUGUCCUUCUUGUGGCUGUGACUUUGUCACUAUUGGCAUGCCUCUUGAUUCGGAUCAUUUGCCAUCUUGACUCUGGAUUUUUAGUUCGUCUUAAGUAUGGAUGCUGUCCAUUUUAAGUACGAAUUAGAAAACCAUUUUUAAUAUGGUUCUUGGUUCUCUUGAUUAUUGGGCUAUGAACCUUCUUGAUACAGGGCGUCGACCCUUCUUGAUACUUGCUUGUGCUUGGUGUGAGGACAUGAUGUACAUAUUGGGCGAGCCUUGUUAUUGAAUCUCUUGGAAANNNNNNNNNNNNNNNNNNNNNNNNNNNNNNNNNNNNNNNNNNNNNNNNNNNNNNNNNNNNNNNNNNNNNNNNNNNNNNNNNNNNNNNNNNNNNNNNNNNNNNNNNNNNNNNNNNNNNNNNNNNNNNNNNNNNNNNNNNNNNNNNNNNNNNNNNNNNNNNNNNNNNNNNNNNNNNNNNNNNNNNNNNNNNNNNNNNNNNNNNNNNNNNNNNNNNNNNNNNNNNNNNNNNNNNNNNNNNNNNNNNNNNNNNNNNNNNNNNNNNNNNNNNNNNNNNNNNNNNNNNNNNNNNNNNNNNNNNNNNNNNNNNNNNNNNNNNNNNNNNNNNNNNNNNNNNNNNNNNNNNNNNNNNNNNNNNNNNAAUUUGAUCAUGUCACCAUGGGUUGUAAUAUAAGUAUGACUAUGUGUUUUGUUCUUUUGAGGUGUGUAAGCCAAGUCUUGUAAUAUAUUAAAUUUACCACUAAUUUUGAAUGAUGGUGUGAAGCAUGAACCACCUAGUUUGAGUACUCGAAAGUUAGAUAUAUAUUUUUUUUUACUAAUGUGAGGACAAUAUAUAUGCAUAAAAAUCUCGUGAGUUAUUGGCUUAUAUGACUUCGGGAGGGUCGUUACAAUUAUUCGUAUCAGAGCCGGGUUUGUGGUUCUAGGACUUUUGCUGUGACUUACUUGUAUACUUGUUCGCAUUCAAAAAAGGUUCUAUUUGGAUUAUUUGUUCACUUACAUGGUUUAUAAUAUUUUUAUCGCAUGUAGAGUGCACAUGCAUCAUGUACAUGUCCCUAACGCAAUGUGAUCUUCCCUUUUGAAGUAUUAAGUUAUGGCCUCUUCUUCUGACAGACUUAUGGAAACUGAUCGUGAAGGGUCGGGUAACUCUGUGCCCCAACCUCAUGCACUAGAAGAGGUUGGAGAACCUUUUUAGAAUCAGUAUGUUCCCCGCACUAGUGGGUCUGAAGUGGGAAACCAUCAGGGUGUAAGAGCGGGUUCACAUCCUCACAUGAGCCGUGGUACUCAAACCAUGAAUCCUCCUUUUCAAUAAAUGGCUGAAUUCUUCCACCACAUGGCUGAAGCGAUGCAUGAUCCCAACGUGAUUAACUUUGAGAAAAUGAGGAAAAUGGGUGGAGUGGAGUUUGAAGACACUGUUGAUCCCACAUAUGCUGAACAAUGGCUGGAGCGCAUGGAGAGGGUAUUUGAGCAGUUAGAGUGUUCUGAUGUUGCCAAAUUUAAGUAUGCUAUUUCACUAUUACAUAAGGAUGCUUAUGAUUGGUGGGUAAGUGUUCCAAAUGCCAAGGUAAAACCUCCUGUUCUUACUUGGGAUGAAUUCACAUCCCUCAUAUCAUUCAGACGGCAAGCAGUAUAAGAUGGAGGGUCACGCCUUUGAGGGAAUAUUAUUCCUUCAGUAAAAGGAGUUUGUGAAGAAGACCCCAUUCUAUCUUCCCUGUACAUAGCCGGAGACCUACAUGUCUAUUGUUGACACCCAAUUUUGACCCUCCACAAUAUAAAUUAAUCAUUUCGAGCUUCUCCAAUUUCAAACGAUUUAAAAUAAUUAGUUUAUAAAUUCCAAAAAAUAAUAAUAUAGGUUGCAAGAUUUUUAAUAGUUGUCACUUUUCAUAAUUUUUAGAUAAUAUAUAUGUUUUACAUAAUUAUGUAUAUAAUUAGUAUAUUUUAUGAUUAUUCAAAAAUCAUCUCAAAAAAGAUUUUUUAUUUUUAAUAUUUUAUUAGUGAUGGUUGUAAUUUUGAAUUAAUGAAUCUUAUGAAAUUCAAAAUACUUUCAAGUUGUUUUUAGAGUAAUUUUAUCAUUUUUAAUAAUUUUAAAUAAUAAAUAUGUAUAUUUUCACAAUCACGGUGUUUUUAAUAAAUUAUUUAGAAAAUCAUCAACAAAAGUAUUUUACUAUUUUAGUUAAAUUAUUUUAUUAGUUUACUUUAAGUUAUAGUCAUAAUUUUGAGUUAAUUAGUUUGUAAUUAAUUAUUUUAUAAUAGAAGUAAUUAUUAUAUUUCGUUAAGAUUAAGAAGCUCAUUAAUUAAAUAAUAUUAAUUCGUCUAAAUUAAACUCAAUAUGUUUAUCUCUUAAAAGAUCUAACCCCUUUUUCUUAUUUGGGCCAACAAUCAGCCAACCAACUUCCCAUUCCAUAUUAUCAAUUAAACUUACCAGCAGCCCAAAACAGUUACCAGAUUUCCCAAGCCCAAUUCUUAUUCACAUCAGCAACAUAACCGACCCAACCCACAACAAUUCCUAACAAUACAAUACACUAUCAACAUCAAUACAUACAGCGAUAGCCAUACCCUACGACCCCUAUACUCGUCUUCUUCACGUGACCAAGACGAAAUCAAGACGCUUCAGUCCAGCAAAGCCGAAAAAGCUGUGAACCCAUAACCCUCGCCUGCAACGUCCAACCACCCUCACGUCCCUUUUCCCCCUUUUUCUGGGAUUUUGAAUCCCUUCACUGUUGCCUCGAAAAGAAAACGAGCAGAUUCGAAAUUCAAACGGGUUUUACCCCCUAAAUCGCCCCAACUUUCCCUAUAAAUUUCCCUCUACACUCAAUGAAAAAAAAGGAGAAAGGGGGACAGAGGUUAAGAAAUUUGGAUUUUGAGGUCAUAUACGAAAAAUAGCUUAUAAAAGAACGACUCUCGGAUUUUCUUAGCUCGCUUUCGUAUCCGAAGUUUGUGGUAAAAGAAUCGCCCUUUUAGGCUCGUUGUUAUCCUAGUUUCGCUGCACUUCGAAAGGUAAAUCUUAUUUUGGUUCAUGUCUUUUAUUUUCUGAUGUGUUGAUAUGUUGGAUUCUUGGCCGUGUGAAGCAUUUGAAAUGUUAAAAUUUUCAGAUUGUGUUUUUUUUAAAACUUAUUUCGGCUGCAAAUCAGUGGCAAAGCUUUGCCUAUUUUGAAUUUUGACUGUUUGGUUGCUCGCUUGAAGUCUUGAUGAGUCCGUUCGGUCUCGAGUUCAUCCCUCCCCAUGUCUGUUUUGGACUUUCGUUUCGUUUUGUCUUGGAUCUUGUUGAUUCUGACUCUCACAUAUUCGUAUUGAUUUCAUCUUCAAGAGGUUGUCUUGUUAAGCUUAAUUUUGAAAUUUCGGAUCGAUCGUAAUCGCUUGCCAUUGUAAUUAAUUUUAACUUGUUAGGAUUAUCAAAACUACAUGUGCCUGAACUUCACUUGAACUAUGUAUUUGAUUUGUCUUCAAGAAUAUGCAAUUUUAUGAAAUAAAAUAAAAAAUUUACAUCUACUCUUUUGUCUCUUUGCGUUAUUAGGAGCCUGCAAAUGACCAUUUGUUUUGUUUUUCAUGUGUACAUGUAUGUGUCUUGAAUUUUCUCUAGGCUUAGACUUUUGAUAGUUUAGCGUUAAAAUUUUAUUUUUUUUCUAUCCUAAUUCUAAAGUCCUCCAUGCUUAGUUUCUUAAGUAAGGUUAAAAUUAAAAUGGACCAUAAUUGUUUGUUUGAUAUAUAGUUAUUCAUCUCUUUUAUUUUGGCAAUGGAUGAAUUGAUCAAUAGUGACUUUAUUCAAUUAUAUAUGCAAGCAUGUGGUUAAUGUUUCCUCAAAUAAAAAAUGUUCUUUCAUUUCUUGAAUAUCAUCACUGUUUAUUGUUGAUACAUUAGAAGUGCUUAUUACCCAUCAAGUUGCAAAGUAUUUGAAUCCUUGUUUUUCCACUAAAAUUAGGAUUAGCCUUUCUUUUUCCUUUGUCAUAAGUGAUCCUAUUUACCAUGUGAAUUUAAUCGUUGUAUAUGUGAUUGGUUAAGUCACAUGUUUGUCCCUUUAAAUUGGUAUGUUAGAUAAAGAAAUCUAUAUUAUCGUGCCUAUUUGUGAUGCACAUGAUCUUCAUAUUUCAUCUUUAAUAAGUCCUGAUAGGUUGCAAACAUAUAAGUAUUAGCUCAGUGUUGCAAUGAGUUGUGCCCCUUUUCCUUUUUUUAAAAAAAUUUUCUCUUUGAUUUCCAUAUGUAAAUGAUGAAGUUUGGGGUGGAUGUUUUGAGUUCACUAUCGCAUGUCAAUUUACUCAUCCUUGCUUCAAUUCUCCUUUAAUUACAAGUUGGAUUGCCCAUUAAUUUAGAAGCCUUCCUGGUAGUUUGUUGAUUUCUUAAAGAUGAAUUGUGAAUAUUAAGAGUCAUAUCUAGCUAGAUACACUAAAAUGAUAGUUUCACACCAUAGCUUCCGUGCCUUUGUGCAAUUUUAUUUAGUAAUCAAUUCAUUUAGUUCAUUGCUGACUUUCAUGUACAUCAUUUAGUUAAUAUUACAUUAUAUAUUCAUCUAGUUAAGAAGCUUUCUAUAUGGCCUAAUUUUACUUUAAUAAAUUUAGGAUUAGUAUAGUUUUUUUAUCUUUAGAUGUAUGUUGAAUAUGUAAUCUCUAUCGGUUGAUGUUCAAGUUCAUUGUGGUGCUUUAUUGAUUUUGUUUUAUUUUAUUUUAUUUUCUCUCUGAUCAUUUGAAAAAUAUUGCAUUAGUAUAUAGUGGACAUUUGAGGAGGACUAUUUUGUCAACAAUAUUAAUGCUCUUAUUCAUUCUGUUAAACCUUGUUGUUACCUUUCUUUAGGCCUUGCUCCUUAUUAAGAUAGUGUUGUAGGUUCAAUUCUUAAAAUUGGUAUAUCCAUGUUGGUUAGUCUAUUUUACAUUAAUUAGAUUAAGCAUGAAUUUUGGCAUAGCAAUAGAUUCAAAAUGAGUUGAUGAAGCUUGGCAUGUGGCUUUGAUAGGGCACCCCAUGCGACUUAGUUUUAUUAAAGGAUGUGUUGUGUGAAUACUCGUUUUCGAUAAAUGUAGUAAAUUUCUUUAAAUUAGUUUGCUUGUUUAGUCAAAUGAUAUCAUGUUUUGUCUUGUAUCUUAGAUAUUUACCUUCUUACAUCCCAUUGAUUGCACAUUUAAUUAUUGUUUAUGACGAUUCUAAUUUCUUAUCAUCCUUUUAUUGCAUGUGAAAUAUAUCCGAGCCCUCAUGGGCUUCCACCCUCUGGUUGCAUUCGAUGAUUGGGCCAUAGGGGCCCAAUUUUUCUUUUCUUUAAGUCAGCCGAGUCAUCUGAAUAGGGCUGUACGGGGGCUGG
rnacentral:lncRNA from 1 species